CGAUUGGAUGGGAACCUGGAGAGCUUCCAUGCGAUGUAGGUGAGAACACCGACACGGUUAGACACGAUGAGUAUGCGGCGAGUAACGAGCCAGAGCAGGUAUGAUUUCCUUGAAUAGAGCGAGGUUCCUCUGAGGGAGGUUCAGCCUUGACUCACCGGCAUUCUGUCGUGCGCCGGCGGUAACAAUACAAAGAUCGGAUCCGGAACGGAGUAUUCAAUGGAUGAGUUGAUCUUAACGCGGGGGAGAAAGGCAGUGGCGCCCUGAAGGUCGACCAUCUCGCCGCGGAGUUUAUCGGGUUUGUUUUCGACGAUGACGAGCUCGUCGGUGAGGUCCUGAGUGAGGAUGGUCUGAGAUGGUUCUAAUUUAUCCACACGUCAAAGAAAACGGCGGCGGUAAGUAUAAUGUUGGAUGAAAGCUGAUUUGGAAAAGAAAAGGACCAAAUAACACUGUAUCGGCCGGGUUGGUUUGUGUGCUUCCGCCUUUUAAUAUUUCAGUCUUCAAUUUUUAUGAAUGAUCAAUAUCACUUGACUUUUCAAAUCCUAGUUUGGAAUUUCAGUAGUUUGUUUAUAUUUUUUUUUAAGUUAUUUUAUUUUUUGGCAUAACUUGCUUUUACUUUAUUUGAUUUGAUUAACAAGACAAAUAUUUUUUUAUUUUAUCUUUUUUUCUUCUAAUAUUCCAUGAAUUUGAAAUUACAUAUUAAAUUAAACAACAAUACCUGUAAUUACUUUUUUAUAUUUAUCUAUUUUUGGCAUAGUAAAGAUAUAAAUAAAACAUAUGUAAAUUCAAUUAUCUAUUGUUAAAUUAACAUAAAAUUAAUUAAUUAAUUUUUAACUCACCUAUUCAAUAUACUUAUAUUGAAAAAAUUGUUUGUUACAAGUUAUAACAUGAACAACAUACCUUUAAGAUUUAGAUGAGAGAAUAAAAUGAGAUAUAAAUUACCAUAAUUGUUCUAUAGUAUUUUAGGAUUAGGAUUUUGUAGUUAAAAACCACCUAAUGAAAUAACGAUUAAAUAGAUAAACUACUGAGGAUAGAGAGACAUUGGCAAAGCGUUUCAACUCAUCGUAGUUUAUUAAGUAACAAAAGUCCAACACAUAAUUUAGUAUUUAAUACUAAUUAACUAUAAUUUAAUUAAUAAUAAUCUCUAAUAACUAUUUAUUAUUAAUCUUUAAUCGACUAAUUAAAUAAUUAAUCAAACAAUCUCUUACUUAGAUGACAAUAAUCAAUUACUAAAGAAUAUGAAUUUUAAUAUUAGAAUUUCAACUAUGGUAUAAUUAUUUGUCAUCCAAGAUAAAUAAGUUUUAAUGCUGCAUAAAUUGAAUCCAAUAGAAAAAACAAAUCAUAGAUCUCAAAUAUUUACAUUUUAUUAAAGAAUGAUAACUUUGGUCAUACCCUUUGAAAAUGUUAUAAUAAUCUUCUCCUAAUCCAUAACACUAAAAGACUUUACUCAAACUGAUAGGAGUUAAUAAUAUCUUAAAUAUAAGUAUUUGAUUAGUGGUUAUGCCAAUGAAUCUUCAUAUUUAAUAAAUGUCAUAAAAUAUCCACAUAUGUCUAAAAAUAGUAUGUCUAUAAGUAAGUUAACAAUAUAAUGUCAUACUCGAUAGAAGUACUAAUAUUACACAUGUAUUUGAAUAUUAUUACCUUAUAAAAUGUAAAAUGUUUGUAAUUAAAAGAGUAGAACAAUAUUUCUACAUCCUAAAGAGUUAUUGUGCAUUUUCCAACGUAUGAAAUUGUGAUGUUUACUGAGAUUAUUUUUUCAAAUAGAAAUCUCAUCAUACAGUAUGAGACUUACUUUUCAAGGUCUCGUAAAAUAUAUUAUAUGUUUUAGUGUUCGUAAGAGAAUAUGAAAAUAUAAAAGUAAUAUUUUUAAAUAUUUAUAAUUUGUCUCUAAUGAUAUAAUAUCCAUUUCAAUUGAUCCAACAUAUAUAACAAGAUUCAGAUUUUCAUGAUGAGUCAACUUGUUUAAAAUUACUCUCUAAUGAUAUAACCAUUAAUGGUGAGAUAUUAAAUUUUCAGUACAAAUUUACAAAGAUAAUAUCUAACCAUUAUAAAUAUUUUUGUGUCUCCACUGCAAUUGAUCUCAUAUAUAUAAACAAAUUUAAGAUUUUCAUUAGAACCCACUAGUGUGCAAAAUACUCUAAUAAUUUAAUAGUUAAGGGUGAUAUAAUUUUAUCACUAUUAUAAUUUAAUAUAUUUAACUAUAUAUUUUGUAAAAAACAAAAUACAACAUAAUCAUUAAGACAAAUGGUUAAUUGAUAUCAAUAUGAAAUUUCGUAUAUUAAUAAUUCAUUAUUGGUAUAUUUUUCAAUAUUUGAGUUUCAAAGUUAGGUAUAUUUUAAUAUUUUAUGCACAUAGAAUAAGGACUAUAAAAAAAAUCACUUAAUAAUUCAUAGAAUUUCCUAUUAUAAUAAAAAUUCUCAAAAAUAUAUUUUAUCAGAGUAACCUCUACACAAAGAAAAUGAUGACUAUAUAAAACAUUAAUUAUUGUAUGAAUGAAAUUAAAUCUCUAAUAUUUAAAAGAAUAUGUGUAAUAAGCAAAUUUAAUGAUUCACUCAAAACUCAAAUGCUACAAAUAUUGCACUCACACAUUUGCGAAUGAGGUUAUGCGCAAUAGAAUUAUAUGAGACUUCAAUUUUUACUAUUAUCGAUGAUAUAAGAGAAAUAGUCGUAAAAUUUAUUAUUGUAGAUUUAAUAAGUAUUUCAACAACACAAUAUCAUACUUGAUAGGAGUAUUAAUGCUGUACUUGUAUUUUUUAGAAUUUUUAUUUAUAAAUAACUUAGGACUAUAAUAUCAAAUGCCACACAUUUAACGAAAUUAAAUCAAAUAUCACAAUAAUAUCAAAUGCCCAACAUUUAGCAAAAUUAAAUCAAAUAUCACAAUAAAAUUAAAUAUCAUGCAUUUAACGAAUCAAUCAACACCUUAUAAUUAUUUCUAUUCCAAAUUUUAAUCUCACAAUUUCCAUUUUGCACAUUAAUUAAUUUAUUACUCAAAGGGCUACUGCCGUACGUAGCGAGCCAUGGAUAAAUCAUUGGGAAAUAUGGUUUUUCUGUUCAUCUCACAAUAUAUUAUACUCAUGAAUUCAAACGCUCUCUCACCCCUUACCUUAUUUCGACGCUUUCAUACACAAAUACGAUUCCACGAGCAUACAACCUUUGUUCAUUGACUCUUUGUCCUUCAAUCGAUCUAACUCGACAGUUUCUAGGUAAACGUUAAAAAUAAAUUAUGAGAAGAUAGUCUAAAAACUAAAUUCGAAAUUCGGUCAAGGAAAAUUACCAUAAAUCAGAAAACAAAUCAGUGGAUAAAAUAACCAUUUUUCACACGAUCGUUUUGGCAUUGGUUUCACUAAAAUUGGACUUACGAUGAAGAAGAAUGAUUCAAACUAAGAAAUUUUAUAAACGGAGAAGUCGAAUAUUUUAGAGAGAAAUUUGGAUGGUUCAAAAUCUGAGGAAGUAUGUUUAUUUGACUACCUAAAUAAAUAAAACGACAUACUGAAAUUUGGACGAGAACGGAGAAACUUUUUCAGAACAAUUAUCAAUCGGUGUCAAACUAUAAGUUGUGGUUGUGUUUCUCUUUGGUUUUACGGACGUCGUCCAACUCCCUUUCUUUUUUUGUGUUUGUUUGUUUUAUUUUAUUAACAAUUAGAGUUCACACAUGGGUCAAAUCCAUUGGUUUUCUUUUAGGUUUUACUAGUUUUAUUUUAUUUUAUUUUUUAAAACACAAUUUCAUUAAUAAAAUAUUAUUAAUAUUUCAAAGCUAAUAAUUGAAACUCUCACAUUCAAAAUAAUCUCUACAAUUAUAUUUAUUUCUCAAAAUACUCACAUUAUAAUAAUACCAACAUAUUAGAAAAUAGACAAAAUUAUAAAAUAAAUAAAUAUAACAUCAAUAUUUUAUAUUAAUUACUAAAUCAUAAUAAAUAUAUAUUAAAUCACAAUGUCAUAACAAGUAUAUAAAAAUAAAAGAAAUCAAACACAAUAUCAAUUCUAUCUCAAGAUAAUUAUUUAUAAAAUAAAUAACUAAAAAUAGAAAAUAGUUAUAAAUUAUUGAAAUAUAACUACGUGCAUACUUAAUAUCAGUCAAACACACAUAAAAGUAUUACAUUAAUUGGGUACAUGUAUAUACACGUAAAAUCGCAUAAAAUAUUUUUUUUAAAAUAUAUGUAUUACACUAAAAUACUAUUAUUUAAAAAAAAAUAUCAAAUAAUAAAAUAAAAUAUUUAUUAUUUAUAUCGUUCAUGUAAUCUAAUAUUUAUAAAACUCGCACAUCAUAGAAAUCACCUAUAUAACAAAAACUUGUCAAAAAAUUUAUCAUCAUAUUUUUUAAAAUAAUUUUAAUAUUAAAUUAAUUAUUUAAAAUCAUACUUAACUAAUACAAUAGUUUAUUAUAAAAUUUAGGGUGUUAAUUCAUUUUUAUGUUUAUCUUUUUCGUUUUUUAUUUGUGCGUAAAAUUUAGGAGAACAAUUUUAUGUUUUUUCCGGUGUUAACAAUUCUCAUAAAGAUAGUAGAUUCGAGAGAUAAAAAUUGAAAAUAGAUAUUUUAAUAAAUAAUAAAAGAUGAAAAUAAAUAUGAACAUAAAAAAAUAAGAAUCAAAUUACAAUAAUGUAAUAAUAUUUAAUAAUUUUUUAAUCGAUACAAAUUUUAUAAAAUUUACUGUUUGAUUGAAAAUGUAUAUCAUAUAAAUCAAUCAUAUAAAAUGCUCUGACAUUAUUGUAGAAGAACAAAGCUAUUUCUAGACAAACUUCUUCUUUCAAAUUCUUCUUAAAAAUAUUGUUGAUGGUGGCUUGAAUACAAUUACUACAUUUCUCUUGGAAGUUUAGCACGGGGUAGCAUUCUCAUCCUCCUCUAAUGAUGUUUUUUCCUUUUACUUUUUCAUUAUAUGUAUCAUUCUCGUCUGAUUUCUUCAAUGAUUUAUCUUUCAAGCAUUUUAUAAGCUCAAACAUGUGUUUCUUCACAUCAUCAAGUACAACAUCAAAUACAAUAGCGUUGAGCUGUGUACCAGUAAAAUGGUGUUUCAGUUUGUACACUCCUCCAAUAAAUGUUUUUUUUCACAAUAAUUGCAUUUUAUUUUCCUGAUUCCUCCAUCAACAGAUACAUCAUGUUUCCAUGUUGUAUCAGUUCUGCAUCCUAAUGCAUUUUCUAUACUCUGUGAGGUGCAGAACUAGAAAUGCAGGCAACAAGAACAUAUGUAGACAUGAUUGAAAUCAUGAGGCAGCAAGAGCAAUUCCAGUGAAGAGGAUUGAGGAGAGUUGCAUAUAUGAGAUUGAGAAGAGUUGUAGAGAUGAGAAGAAUUUAUAGAAGAAAUAGAAUGAUGAAAUCUGAAAUUGAAUCAUUUAAUUUAAGUAUUAGAUAUUCCAAAGUUGAAACCAAUUAAUAAUUGAAAAAAAACCAAGUCCCAAGUUGCUGCCUUCAACCUCAUGGGCAUGGCUUUUUUUUUCUAUGGGAAACGAACAAAAUACAAAGGUGAAGAGGUACAAAGCUGAGCCAAAGCAUGCUUUUAACAAUCGGGUCGAAGCAACUUAAACGGGUCGGAGCUUCGUAACACGACGCGUCACUCCCAUGAUGUCACGUUUUUCCUCUGCGCACUUAAAGAUCUGGGUUCUCCAACGAUUUUGCCUUCGCUCUAACACUAUUCUCGCUCAAAAACACGUAAGAUCUUACGAUGUUACGCUUUAGAGCUCGCUACUAACAACCUUGCACAUACCUAAAACCUGGAAUUCCUGACAUAUAUCUUGGUGAGGAGUUUUUUAAGAUCCGUAAGCUUUGUGAAUAUUUCUUUUCCUUCGACAAUAUCUCCCAAAACAAGCUCUAGCAAUUAUAUCAGCUCACAAGCUUUGCAAAUCUUCAUCAAUUUUAAUUUCUGAAACUGCUCCAUCUCUUUCUAUUCUAGUCUCCCAUGUUCUUAACAUUAUAUUUGUGGAGUCAACUAUCCGAUCAACCAUUGCCUUCAACAUGACUCACAUAAAAUGAUAAGAUUAAAAUGUUAUUUUAAUCAAUAUAUAUGUCUUAUAACAAUUGUAGAUAUAAAUAUAAAUCGUAGAUGAGAUAAAAAAUAAAAAAUAAAAUUAUAUUGAAUAAUAACAAAAUUGUUGUUACAUAAAAUAAUACAAAAAGUUAUUUUUUUUUAAAAUUAUUUCAAUUUUUAUUGAAAUAACAAAAAUAAUAUAUAUAUAUAUAUAUAUAUAUAUAUAUUUAAUAUAAUUCAUAAAAAUAGAUAAAUAGAAAUUUUAAAUUACGAUAAAAUUUUAGGAAGUCCAAUUUCGAAAUGCCGAUUUUCCAAAGGUUUUUUUUUAAAAAACAUUUAUUUCAAUGUGGGCCAAUAUCCUUCAUUAGGUAUAAGUGGAAACUCUUCUUUGUAGAUGUUAAAUACAUUAGCAACCUUGUACACAUCAAAUAGAAGCACUAAAUAGUUUUGACGAGCAAAAGAACAUGUAGCUAUGACAUGUGAACAAGGAAUAUGUAUAGCCUGAAAUUUUCCACAAUCACACCAUUUUCUUUGAAGGUUGACUUCAAAAUGACCAAUUGGUCGCACCUAUCUUUGGUUUACUGUUUCAUGCACCAUGAAAGAAUAAUGAUUAUGGUCGAAUUCCAUGACUUGGUGAGUAUUAAAUUUACCAACUUCACAUUUAAUCUUGUCCAUGCAAUCGUCUAUGUAUACUCGACCAGAAGCUAAUGAUGUCUGAUGUUGUUGUCCCCUUUCUGCAUAUAAAACUCUCAAUCUAUAGUAUGUUGAUUGUACCAAAGCAGUGAUUGAGAGAUUGCGUGUACCCUUGAGCACUGCGUUGAUUGACUCGGAAAUGUUUAUUGUCAUGUGUCCCCAUCGUCGUCCUUGAGAAUAAGUCAUAGUCCAUUGUUCUGGGAGGAUAUUAUCGAUCCAUCUUAAAGCCUAUGAAUUUGCCAUCUUGAUUUCAUUGCAGUAAUAUCUGAAUGAUGGUUCAUUUAAUGCAUAUCCUGUUAGAAAUGAUGUAAAAAUUAUCAAAUAUGAUAAAGUGAUAAGUGGAAAAUAUACUAAGAAGAAUUAGAUCAUUACCCAUACAAACAAGUUUUCUUUGAAGUUCCUUGUCCUUGAACUCUCUCGUGAAAUUUUGUGCAAUGUGUCGGAUGCAGUAAACAUGUGUUGACGGAGGAUCAUGUCAACCAUUAUUUAGAUUAUUAUAAGCACUUUUAAUGGAUUCGUGUCUAUCUGAAAUCAAACAAACGUCGACUUAAGGUGUUACAUACCUUCUUUGCCAUCCAUGUCUUUCUAUAGGAUAUUGUGUAGUUGUAUCGUUCCCAAAUAUGUGCAAUGAUCACCUUCACUUUAAUUGAUGGAUCAGCUUUCAAAAGCGACUUUAUACUUUCUCAUAUGAUGUUAGAGUCAAGCUUGUUAUGAGAACAAAGAGUGGAAUGAGAACAAGUUGACUAUAGUUGGACAUUAUUCUACGAAAAUGAGAACAAAGAGUGGAAUAAACGAGAGAAUCAUAUUCUUCACGGUCAACCUCUAAAUGUUGAAUUCAAACCAAGUUAUGAAUACAUGGUUUGGUUUUGUAAAAAUUAUAAACGAUUUAUUUCUGUAGAAAACCAAUUGGUUAAUCCUCGUGUCAAUCCAUCCCAACCCCACCACAAUCUAGCCAACAUUUUUUUCACCCUCAACCUCCACUACAAUCUAGUCAACAUUUUUUUCACCCCAACCUCCACUACAAUCUAACCAACAUUUUUUCCAAGAAUUAAUGUCCAACACAACAAAAUCAACAUUAUAUACCAACACCUCCUGACACUUAAUCGCCUCCUCAUACUUUUACCCACACACCACAUCCUCAUACUUUUACCCACACACCACAUCCUCAUACUUUUACCCACACACCACAUAAAUCUUACGGGUUCACGCCAGGGGAACAAUUUAAUUUUGAUAGCAAACAACCACAUCAAGAAGACAAUCGUCGACUAUCAUUUGCAUCAAGCGAAGAUGAAUUGUUGUAUAACACGUUCAAUACUCGUCAUAAUACACAUGAGUUCGCUACCCAGUUACUGAAUAAUAUGUGUCAACAAAACUUUCAAAUUUCAAGCUUUUGGAAUACUCUUCAAAAUCGCGUACGUAUGAGAAAACCUCGACAAUGUGGUACUGGAGGCCACAUUCGACAUUAAUUAUCGUAAUUUUUGUAAAAUUUGCGAUGUUUUUUAUGGAUAAAUUAUGUAAUAUAAAGUUUUAUCGUAAUUUCAAAUUUCUAUUUAUUUAUUUUUAAAAAUUAUAUAUAUAUAUUUUAUUUUUGUUAUUUCAAUAAAAAUUGAAAAAAAUUGAAAUAAUUUUUUUAAUAAAAAAAAACCUUUCGGAAAUCGGCAUUUCGAACUUGGGCUUCCUAAAAUUAUAUCUAUAAAAUUUCUAUUUAUCUAUUUUUAUGAACUAUAUUAAUUAAUUAUAUAUAUAUAUAUAUAUAUUAUUUUUGUUAUUUCAAUAAAAAUUGAAAUAAUUUUUUUUAAAAAACCUUUGGGAAAUCGGCAUUUAGAACUUAGACUUCCUAAAAUUUUAUCGUAAUUUAAAAUUUCUAUUUAUCUUUUUUUAUGAAUUAUAUUAAUUAUAUAUAUAUAUAUAUUACUUUUGUUAUUUUAGUAAAAAUUGAAAUAAUAAUUUUCUUAAAAAAAAAAACCUUUGAGAAAUGCCUAUUUGGAACUUGGGUUUACUAAAAUUUUAUCGUAUUUUAAAAGUUUUAUUUAUUUAUUUUUAUGUAUUUUUAUAAAUUAUAUUAAUUAAUUAUAUAUAAUAUUUACGUUAUUUUAUUAAAAAAUUAAAAAAAAAAAUUGAUUUUUUUAUAAAUCCCUUUGGGAAGUCGCCAUUUGGAACUUGGGCUUCCUUAAGGAAGUCGCCAUUUGGACUAAAAAUAAAAAGGGGGUAUUUUGGUAUAUUUUUUUUCAAAUGGGAAUAUACUGAUCAUUUUCCUAGAUUCAAAGAGGUGUUUAGGACGAUUUCCUUCACCAUUUUCAUAUUUGUCACCAUUAACCAUUGUUUGUGUACUCCUAGAUGAAUACAAGUCUAUUGGACCUGCAAUAUUUAUAUCUUAACACACCAUUUCAUUCAAUAUACAUUUCUAAAAAAUAAUAAAAAUAGCUUUUAAAUAUUUUUAUUACUUUUAAAAAUUUAGGUCAACCAAUACCCUUAAAAAUAUCUUAACCUAAUAUUUCACAUCUUAUCUUAUAUAUAAAAGAUAGGUUGAUGUGAAUUUUAAGGAACAUUUUCCUUUUAAAAAUAUAGUCAACUCAAUCAAUUAUUUUUAUUAUAAAAAAAAUAAAAGUUUAAUCGCAGUUUUGAUCCCUCUAUUUUAGCUGAAUCGCAAAAGUAGUCCCUAUAUUUUAUUCCAAAACUUGAUGAAGUUUCAGCUAUCGAGGGCGAUAGCCGCUACCUACCAGCUAUCGGUAGGGAUGGCAAAAAAAUCCGCACCCGCGGAUACCCACUCAAACCCGUUUGAUUUGGGCGGGGAAAACACGCUUUGAUUGGGUGCGGGUGCGGGGACGGGUGCGGGGAUGAUGAUAUCCACCCGCACCCAAACCCGCCUCGCAAGUAUUAUUAGAGUAAAUUUUGAAUUUUCUAUACAUAUACAUAUCAAAUAUAUUUAAUAUUUUUUUAAAUAUUAAAAAUUAUAAUCUUAUGUCUAUAUAAAAUAAUUUUUUUUUAUUAUUAUCUGAUAAUACUUAUUUUAUUAUAUUAAUUAUAAUAGAUAUGAUUUUUUAAAUUUAUAAUUUUAUAUAUAUAAAUGGGUGUGGGCGGGGAAACCCGAAACCCGUUGUGGGCGGGGAUGAGGGUUUAAUUUUCACACCCGCUAUGAAACGGGUUCGGGUGCGAGGGUGGAGGAGGCAAAAUCCGCCCCCGACCCGCCCCGUUGCCAGCUACCAGCUAUGAGAAGGCGAUAGCCGCUACCAGCUAUGAGAAGGCGAUAGCCGCUACCAGCUAUGAGAAGGCGAUAACCGCUAUCAGCAACCAGCUAUGAGAAGGCGAUAGCCUCUACCAACUACCAGCUAUGAGAAGGCGAUAGCCUCUACCAGCUAUCAUCCAUGAGGCGAUAACUGCUACCAGCUAUCAACUAUGAUAGCCAAUAGCUGAUGGCCAAUAGCUGAUAGACAAUAUCACCUAUCAGAUAUCCAGAUAUCAGAUUUUCAGUUAUAAGCUUAUAACUUAAUUUUACAAAAUAGAGCCAAAGUGUCCAUGUGAUUUCAAAAGAUCGGCUAAACUUUAAAAAUAUUAUUAUUUACAUUUUAUUUAAUUUCAAAUCUUAUAAUUUACAUUUUAUUUAAUUUCAAAUCNNNNNNNNNNNNNNNNNNNNNNNNNNNNNNNNNNNNNNNNNNNNNNNNNNNNNNNNNNNNNNNNNNNNNNNNNNNNNNNNNNNNNNNNNNNNNNNNNNNNNNNNNNNNNNNNNNNNNNNNNNNNNNNNNNNNNNNNNNGGUAGGUGAGAACAUCGACAGGGUUAGACACGAUGAGGAGAACUGUAUGCGGCGAGUCACGAGCCAGAGCAGGUAUGAUUUCCUUUAAUAGAGCGAGGUUACUCUGACGGAGGUUCAGCCUUGACUCACCCGCGAUCUGUCGUGCGCCGGCGGUAACGAUACAAAGAUCGGACCCGGCGGUAACGGAGUAUUCAUCGGAUGAGUUGAUCUUAACGCGGGGGAGAAAGCAGCGGCGCGCUGAAGGUCGACCAUCUCGCCGCGGAGUUUGUCGGGUUUGUUGUCGACGAUGACGAGCUCGCCGGUGAGGUCCUGAGUGAGGAUGGUCUGAGCGAUGGCAAUUCCUACAUUUCCGGCGCCGAUGACGGAGAUCUUGGUUUGACGCUUGGAGAGAGAUGGAGGGGAUGAUUUGGAAAAGAAAAGGACCGAAUAACACUGUAACCGCCUGGUUGGUUUGUGUGCUUUCCGCCUUUAAAUCUACCAAUUUAGCAGUUGUGAAUUAGUUGUACCGUUCAAUUAAAAUGAUUCUUUAAAUAAUAACAUUUCAGUUCAAUUUUGAUGAAUGAUCAAUAUCACGUCACUGUUUUGUUUGAAAGCAUACAAUUUCAGAUCCUAGUUCGGAAUUUGGAUAGUUUCGUUUAUAUUUUAUUUUAUGCUAUUUUUCUUUUUUUAGACAUAACUUGCUUUUAUAUUAUUUGAUUUGAUUAACAACACAAAUAUCCUUUUAUUUUUGCUUUUUUUUUUCUUCUAAUAUUCCGCAAAUUUUAAAUUAUAUAUUAAAUUAAAUAACAAUACAUCUAAUUGCUUUUUUUUUUAUUAUCUAUUUUUGACGUAGUAAAAAUAUAAAUAAAAUGAGUUCACUUAAGUUAUAUGAGUUUACAUAAAUAUAUUUAAAUUAGACUUACAUGUAACAUAUAUCACUCAAUUUAUUAAAAAAUAAAACAUAUGUAAGUUCAGUUAUAUAUUGUUAAAUUGACAUAAAAUUAAUUAAUUAAUUUUUAACUCACUUAUUCAAUUUACUUCCAGUGAAAAAUUGUUUGAUAAAGUUAUAACAUGAACCACAUAUCUUUAAGAUUUAGAUGAGAGAAUGAAGAUGAGUAUGAAUUACCAUAAUUUUCCUAUAACAUUUUAGGAUUAGGAUUUCGUAGUUGAGGAACUCUCUGAUGAGAUAAUGAUUAAAUAGAUAAACCAUUCAAGGUAGAGAGACAUUGACAAAAUGAUUCAACCCAUCAUAGUCUAUUAAGUAACAAAAGUCCAACACAUAAUUCAAUAUUUAAUACUAAUUAACUAUAAUUUAAUUAAUAAUAAUCUCUAAUAACUGUUUAUUGUCAAUCUACAAUUAACUAAUUAAAUAAUUCAUCAAAUAAUCUCUUACUUGGAUGACAAUAAUCAAUUACUAAAAGAAUAUGAAUUUUAACAUUAGAAUUUCAACUAUGAUCAAAUUAUUUGUCAUCCAAGGUAAAUAAGUUUUAAUCUUGCAUAAAUUGAAUCUAAUAGAAAAAACAAAUCAUAGAUCUCAAAUAUUUACAUUUUAUAAAAGAAUUAUAACUUUAGAAUAGUCAUAACCUUUGAAAAUGUUAUAACAAUCUCCUACUAAUCCAUAACACUAAAAGACUUUACUCAAAAUGAUAGGAGUUAAUAAUAUCUUAAAUAUAAGUAUUUGAUUUGCAGUUAUGCCAAUAAAUUUUCAUAUUUUAUAAAUGUCAUAAAAUAUUCACAUAUGCCUAAAAAUAGUAUGUCUAUAAAUACAUUAACAGUACAAUGUCAAAUCUGAUAGAAGUACUAACAUUACACAUGUAUUUGUAUAUUUAUCACCUCAUAAAAUAUGAAAAGUUUGUAAUUAAAAGAGUAGCACAAUAUUUUUGCACCCUAAAGAGUUAUUGUGCAUUUUUCAACGUAUCAAAUUGUGAUGUUUACUGAGAUUAUUUUUUAAAAUAAAAAUCUCAUCAUACAGCAUGAGACUUACUUUUCAAGGUCUCGUAAAGUAUGUUAUAUGUUUUAAUCUGUGUAAGAGAAUAUGAGAAUAUACAAAUAAUAAUUUCCAAAUGUUUAUAAUUUGUGAACAUGUGUACUUCCAUUAAUCCGAUAUAUAUACAAACAAGAUUUGGAUUCUCAUUAGAGUUCACUAAUUUCAAAAAUACUCUAAUGAUAUAAUAUGCACUCCAAUUGAUCCAACAUAUAUAACAAGACUCUGAUUUUCAUUAUGAGUCAACUUGUUUAAAAUUACUCUCUAAUGAUAUAACCAUUAUUGAUGGGAUAUUAAAUUUUUAGUACAAAUUUACAGCGAUAAUAUUUUAUCAUUAUAAAUACUUUUGUGUCCCUACUACAAUUGAUCUCAUAUAUAUAAACAAAUAUGAUAUUUUCAUUAGAACUCACUAGUGUACAAAAUACUCUAAUAAUUUAAUAGUUAAGGAUGAGAUACUAUGUUUUAUAGUGCAAAAUCUUUUAUAUACAGGGUUAUAUAAUUUUAUCACUUUUAUAAUUUAACAUACUUAACUACAUAUUUUGUAAAAAAAAAANNNNNNNNNNNNNNNNNNNNNNNNNNNNNNNNNNNNNNNNNNNNNNNNNNNNNNNNNNNNNNNNNNNNNNNNNNNNNNNNNNNNNNNNNNNNNNNNNNNNNNNNNNNNNNNNNNNNNNNNNNNNNNNNNNNNNNNNNNNNNNNNNNNNNNNNNNNNNNNNNNNNNNNNNNNNNNNNNNNNNNNNNNNNNNNNNNNNNNNNNNNNNNNNNNNNNNNNNNNNNNNNNNNNNNNNNNNNNNNNNNNNNNNNNNNNNNNNNNNNNNNNNNNNNNNNNNNNNNNNNNNNNNNNNNNNNNNNNNNNNNUAUACUUGUAUUUUUUAGAAUUUUUAUUUAUAAAUAACUUAAGACUAUAAUAUCGUCAAUAUAAAUCUUCGUGAAAAUAAAAUAAUAUUAUUUAAUAAAUAAAGUUUGUUUUUUGUUUUAGAUAAUUGACAUACUAGAUUAUCUCACUUGAUAUAGAAUGAUAAUUGAUUUAUAAAUUCAAGAGUUUUUUUUUUUUUUUUUUUAAAUAUGUAAACAAUUAUUCGAUUAUCUUCUCUAUCACACGAGAAUCAUGUCAAGUAACAUCAUACUGAUAGAGUAUGUCAAUCACUUAGAUAAUAUAUAAAUAGAAUUGCAAUCCACUUUAGCAAAAUGUUUUAAAAAUAAAUAUUGGAUUGCAUAAAAUAUAGAUAAAUUACUACAUAUCUUUAAAGUGAUUUUCUUACUUAUUGUCAUCUUAUGUAAGAAAUAUAAUAAUAAUAUACACAUCUUAUGUCACAAAAAUUAUAAUAUCGAUAUAAUACUUGAAUCAUAAUUGAAAAUUUAUAGGCACAUUAAACAAUUAUCAACAAAAUAUAUUAACAAUAAUUUUUAUAAUUUAACUUAUACAAAGUUUACACAAAUAUACUUACGAUAAGUGAAAUUAUAAUAUUACAAAUUAUGAAUCAUUAUGCUUAAUAUAAAUAUUAUAUAUAUAUAUAUAUAUAUCAGACAAAAAAAAUUAUAUUUUUACCAUAUUCGUGUUCUAAUAAGAAUGAAACAUACAUUAACACAUUUUAAAUUGGCAUGACAUAUAUGGUUUUAUAAUUCAUAUAUAAAAGGGAAUGAAAUAAUUUUUUAUUUAUUCAUAAUAGAACUCUUAAAAUUAUAAAAUUUUAAUUAUCAUAGAAUUUAAGAUUUUAAAAUAUUAUAGAAAAUAGUUCACAUUUAUAUGUAUGUAUGUAUGUAUUAUUAUUAUUGUUGUUGUUAUUAUUAUUAUUAUUAUUAUUAUUAUUAUUAUUAUUAUUAUUUACAAAAAGAAUUUAUAUUUAUAGAUUCAAAUUAUAGAAUAUGUCGAUGCUAUAAAAUUAAAAUUUGCUAAAAAUAAAUUAGAUGAACUUGCAAACAAAUUCGCAAUACAUAGCGUAAAAUAGCAGAAUGUCUAUAAAUAUGACAAAAUUCAAGUAUCCUGAAUACCAAUAUCUUCAAAUAUGUAACGUUGACAACACCAAAUUCAUUUAUUAGAAUCUAUAAUCGAUCAAAGCUACUAUAAAAAUCUAAACUAUAACGAACACCAUACUAAAACAAGAAAAAACACUACAUCAAGACAGAAAGAUAGAAAAAAACGUCGCAUUCAGAUGACAAGAUCACAACAACAAAAAAAUAAAAUAAAAACUAAAUUUGUGUGAAAACCACCUAAUUAGGUCAAAUGAAGGAGAAAAAAAUAAUUUGGAGGGUGAUUAUAUACUAAAAAUGAUCUUAAAUCACCCCUUUAUAAGGGAGGAAGAAGAAGAUAACCUAAAAUAAAAAAUUAAAUUUCUCUUUAUAUUCAACUACACAAUAAAUCACAAAAGGAUGAAUAACUAAACUACGAUUAAUAUCUAAUCAUGUGAAUUUCAUCAUUGCAUGUAAAGUCAUUGAACAUUUUUAUCCAUGAGAUUUUACAUUGUCACCUUAAAUGGUUUUUAAACCACGAAUAAACCAUUAUAAAAUAAGAAAAGACUAUAGUAAAAUCAAUAAAAUUAACCUCAAUGAUACAUAAUGGUAGAUUGUAAGAAUGAUACAACUUUAAAUUCGUUAAGUAUUGCUCGAAGAAUUAUCUUUAAUUUUAUUUUACAAGUGAGUGUUUAAUUAACAACAAGACAACAUAUAAUUUAUUAUUACAAGUUGUUUGUAUAAUAUAUGGUGUUAAAAUUAACAAAAUUGAGUCCAAAGUAAUUUUACAAUUAUAACAUUUAAUAGAAUAAUAUAAUUAUUAUUAUUAUUAUAAGAAAAAAUUUACAAAGAUUUUUUUUAUCUAUUCAAAUAUUGAGAAUUUAUUGUUUGAAAAAUAAUGUAUGAUUUUCACAGUGUAGAAAAUGUGACGAUUUGUACUCUCUUUUUUUUUUUAAUAAAAAAUUCGAAAACAAACAAAAUCUUUCUUUUGAUUUUCAAUUUCAAUUUCAUUAAAUAUGGUCGCUCAACAACAACAAUUAUAAGCCCCGAUAUCAUGUCAAUAACCAUCCACCCAACUAAGAAUUUGAGAUGAAAGUCAUAUGGAUUUAGCGUAAAAUAAAUUUUUGCAAGCAAUCAAUUGAUAACAAUAAGCAGUGAUAUGUUUAUAUUCUUUAAUUGGUUAUUAUAAAAGUUGUAUUAAGAAAAAUCUGAAACAAUUUAAAAAGUCGGUAGAAAUAUAUUCGUUUUGAGAUUUUAGGGCUUCAUAACAUUCAAGGUUAUAUUUUGUGUACUAUAGUCAAAUAAAUGUGGAGCUUCACAUAAAAAACAAAUUAAAAAAAAGUAACCGGUAGACACAAAUUUUAUAUAUGUGUAUGUUAAAUGUCACAUUUAAGAAUAGUCAUAUCUAAUUGUUAUAGAGUGUUUGUUACGGAACUUUCAAACUUAUUAUAAGAAUCUAAGAUGAGAAUAAAAAAAUUAUAGAUACAUAUAAUAUAUUUAAGUAUUAAGAGAUGGUUAUGAACCACAUAAUUUUACAUACUUUUAGGAUUCGGAUGAGAGAAUGGAGACAGGUAAAUUAUUAGAUUUCAAGAGAAUAAUCAAAAUCAUAUAUACGAAUUAUAACAUAUCUAUGUAUUAAGAGAUGAUUAUGAAUAACAUAUUUUUAAGAUUCUUAAUUACUUCAUUACCGCAUAAUAAUUUAGAAUUAAAAUUUAUUAAUUGAAUAACUAAUCUAAUAAAAAGUACAUGUAAGUUUGAAAAUACAAGUCUAUCAAAAGUAUGAAAUUGUAGAUUUCUUAUUUUCAUAUUAAAGUAGCAUUAAGAACCAAGACAUGUACAUUUUGAUACUAAACAUAUGAACACCACAUUUUCCAAGUUAAAUCAAUUAAUAGUAUAUAAGAGUUAAUAUUUUUGAAAGAAAAUGUGAAGAACCAAAUGGCAAAUACGCUAAAUGAAACAACCUUUGUGUAUCAAACUUCAAACAAACAAUCUCAUUUAUGUAUUAAUAAUAAGUGUUUAUGUAGUAUUUCAAAUUUAUUUAUUAUUGACAAAUAUUUAUUUGAUAUUUUUUUAAAAAAAAAUUAUCAAUGACAAAUAUAUAUUUCAUGUUUUUUAAUAUUUAUCUUGUAUUUUUUUAUGUAUCAGUGACAAAUGUUUAUCUCAUAUUUUUUAUGCGUUAAUUAUAUACAUGUAUUUCACGGUUUUUAAUAUUUAUCAUUUACAAAUAUUUAUCCAUUUUUUUUUAUAUAUAUUUAUAAGUGAUAAAUAUUUGUCACAUGUUUUAUUAGUUAUAUGUGACAAAUAUUUUCCCCCAUAUUUUUAUGUAUAUGUGACAAAUUCUAUAUGUCUUUUUAGAUUUAUCAAUAACAUAUAUAUAUUAAGUUUUUUUUUUAUAUAUCAUUGACAAAUAUUUAUCUUAGACUUUUUAUGUUUAUCGAUAACAAAUAUUUAAUAUGUAUUUUUUUAUAUUUAAUAGUGACAAUUAUUUAUCUCAUAUUUUUUUAUGUAUGAAUAAUUUUUUUUUCUUCAUAUAUAUAAAUAUUAACUUUUUUUAAAACAAUGCUCAACAACAUCACAUAAUAUUCAACCAACCAAAACAAUGCUCGAAAACAAAAAUGUUUCACACAAUUAGGUUUCAACAUGAUAAUUUGAAAUUGGAAAAAUGAAUUUCAUUUUUUGCAUAUUAGGUGGAUGUUUUAGAGGUAAAAACAAGGUGAGCUUUAUGUUCAAUAUGAAAGCUCUUCUUUUAGUGUUUUUUUAGUUUGAGCAAUUCGUUUUUAUGUUUAUCUUUUUUGUUUUUUAUUUGUGCGUAAAAUUUAGGAGAUCAAUUUUAUAGUUUGGACGGUGUUACAAAUAUAUAUAUAUAGUAGAUUCAAGAGAUAAAAAGUUAAAAUAGAUAUUUUAAUAAAUAAUAAAAGAUGAAAAUAAAAAAAUAAGGUGGUCACAAAUAUGGUGGUCACAAACUUUUGUGGUGGUCUUAUAAGAGUAUCCUAUAUUCUUUGGAAAGGAAUGAAGGUUUUCUUAGAUUCAAAGAGGUGUUUAAGACGAUUUCCUUCACCAUUUUCAUAUUUGUCACCAUUAACCAUUGUGUACACCCAGAUGAAUACAAGUAUAUUGAACCUGCAAUAUUUAUAUCUUAACACACCAUUUCAUUGGAUAUACAUUUAUGAAAAAUAAUAAAAAUAGUUUUUAAAUAUUUUUAUUACUUUUAGAAAUUUAGGUCAAACAAUACCUUUAAAAACAUCUUAACCUAAUAUUUCACAUCUUAUCUUAUAUAUAUAUCUCAUAUACAAGAUAAUUUGAUAUGACAUCUUAACCUAAUAUUUCACAUCUUAACCCUCUCAUGGUUGUGUGAUUUUGACACAACACUAAGAUUUUAUUAUUUGGUCGCAGGAAAUAACCACACAACAUGAAUGAACAUUCACAUUUCUUAGAUCUUGUGUCUUCGUGUUUCAACUUAUUAUUGGUUCUUUAAUACACACCACUCCUUUCGCAACUCAAUUCAAAAAAUUGUUUUCUUCUAUUUGAACUAUGAUCAGAUUUUGUAAUUACCACUAAAAAUCCUAACAUAGUUUCCUGAUGACGAACUCAAGCAAUCAAAUCAUCUCACAUCUAUAUGUAUUAUCAGUAAUGAAGUUAAUCUCAACAUUGAUGUCAAUCACCAAUGGCUCUGUAAUAUUUAGUUUCAAAUCAGAUGUUUCCUCCUAUUUCAAGUCAAGUAUGAGCUUAGGUAUUUCUUCAAGCUCAGGCUUUGGUUCAGCUACAGGCUCAGGUUUCAAAUCGGGUGCUGGAAAAUGUUUGAAUUUAGCUUCAAGCUCAACCAUAACUAACUAUAAAUAUUUAACACAAAUUAAAACUCAAUCAUGCAAAAAACAAACAAUUAUGUAUUGUAUUAACACCUACCAGAUGUGUGAAUCCGAUAGUGUUAUAUUUUUUUAAAACACUAUCGAAUGUGUGAAUCCAAUAGUGUUAAUUUUUUAAAAAAACAACUACCAGAUCCUAGAAUCUGAAACAAUCCAGUACAUAACUUCAAAAAAUUUAACAACCAAAAUGACAAUGAGAAAGCUUUUAGAGCUACAUUACCUUUGCAAUGAACAAGAAUACAAUUGAUGAUGCCAAUGGAUAGAAGAAUGGGAAUUUUGAACUCUAAAAACGUGAAAAUGCGUGAAGAAUUUAAGGUUGAGUAUUGAAGAAGAAGUGUUUGGCGAAAAGGCUGACUUGCUUUUGUAUUUGUGGCUUCCGGAUGCUGGAACCCGGUAACUUAAAUUAUUGAAUUCAUGCACCCGAGAAUUUACCGAUUCGAAAGUUGAGAUUCAAUAAAAGAUAAAUGCAAAAAUUUGAGGAGCCUCUAAGCAACAAUGGAAGAUAAGCAAAUAGGAUGUGGACUGAUGAGGCUCCCUUUUCCUAUUCAUUUUGUUGUAUAAGGAUUUGGGUAUGAUUGAUCUUUUGACUUGUUUCAAUAAAAAGAGGUAUAUCUAUUAUAAUAUAUUAAAAUAUACUCUUAUAUUCUAACAAGUACUCUUUCACCCUUGUUAUUAUUUUACACAUGCAAUUUACUUUAGCACAUUUUUUUUUUUGUUUUAACACACAUUUUACUAUUACUAUUUUUGCAUUUAAUAUUUUGUGGAACUAUUCAUGUUUCAUGAGUUACAAAUUACAAUACAAUAAAUAUUAGUUAUUCGACACUCAUUGUUCCUCCAUCAUUAUUGGUAACGGUUCUUCCUAUAGUUUUAAAUCUCAAUUAAUUUAUUGUGUCCUUUUAAAGUUUUCUCAAACUACAAUUAAGGGAAGUUAUUUUAUAUCGCAUGUUUUUUUCAUCUGGAAAUAGGAAGAGAACGACAUAUAUGAUUAGGUCCCUAUGCAACUCUUCGUAUGCUCAUUACAUACUUUCAAACUUUUUUCCUUUUAGAUAAGCAAAAAGUGUGAUAACUCAUAUAUUUUUUUAGUUUACAUCUUUGAGUUUUAAUUUUAUUUAUAUAUAUUUUGAUAUAUUUGUGAUCAAUUGUUGUUGUUGACAUUUGGUCCAAAUACAUCAAUUUUUCUUUCAAAAUGUGCUUAUCUUUCAUUACAUAAUAUAUUAUGUGUUAUCUAAUGUGUUUUUCGGAUAUACAUUGAAAUUUGAAACAGGUUUCUAACACUAAUACACAUCUCUUAAAUUUCGGUGAUAAUAUGAAUAAGUUAUACAAUAUUAUAUGAUGACAACUACAAUAUAUCUUUUUCACCUCAUCUUUAGACAUAUGAUGACAACUACAAUAUAUCUUUUUCACCUCAUCUUUUUCACAGUCUUAUGGGUUCUCAACAGAGAAAAACCACUCAAUGAUUCUUCUGGUGUUGUUACAGUGUCUGAUGAUGGCCAUGAUCUUGUGAUACUGAAUGGAAAGAAAGAAGUGAUUUGGUCAUCAUCCAAUGCACCGAGCAUCGCAACCAAGUCAAGUUCCAAACUUUUAGAUUCAGGGAACAUUGUACUACUCGAAGACACAACACGUAGAACUAUAUGGGAGAGUUUUCAGCAUCCUUCAAAUACACAGUUACCAAACAUGAAACUUACUACCAACAAAAGAACAGGUUGGUAGCUUAAUUAUUUAAUUAAAAAAUUAUGGAGUGAUAUAAUCGGUUAUUAGGAAUUAUUAAUAAAAUAAAUUAUAUUCAAUUAUUAUUAUGCACUAAUAUUUAGUUAUGAAUGAACCAUGAUGGGUCUUGUCAUUCUAUUAUUUGUUUAAUUGUAGCUACAUAAGAAGGUAACACUGAAAAGAUCUUUAAGUGUUGAACGACUUAGUAUAACUGAGGUGUUCAUUUGGAACAAAACUCGACCAUAUUGGCGCACCUGUCCAUGGGAUGGUAAGAUUUUUUCAGGGCUUCCAUAUACGAAAACUCAUGACCUCAAUGAUAUACAUGUUGGAGAUGACGGUUCCUUCUUUGAAACACAAAGGAUACAAAUGGUCUCAUAAUCUAUAAUCUAACUUCAGAAGGAAACUGUGAAGAGAAAUGGUGGGAUGAAAAGAAGAAAGAAUGGAAUGUAACAUGGAAUAGUCAUCAAAUGGAAUGUGAUGUUUAUGGUGUAUGUGGAACUUUUGCUAGCUGUAAUUCACAAAGCUCACCAAUAUGUAGCUGUUUGAAAGGGUUUGAGCCAAGGAACAAAGAGGAAUAGAAUAGGCAAAAUUGGAUUGGAGGGUGCAUUAGGAGGACACCUAUGCAAAAGUGUGAAAAAGAGAGCAUUAAAAAAAAAGUACUGAGAGUAAAGCUGAUGGAAUGUUUGAAACUACAGAUGGUCAAAGUUCCUGAUUUUGCAGAUGGGUCUUCUCUCACACUUUCACCAGACACAUGCAGAAGCCAAUGUUUGGGGAAUUGCUCUUGUGUUGCAUAUUCAUAUGAUGCUGACAUUGGUUGUAUGUCUUGGACUGGGAAUCUAGUUGACAUACAACAAUUCUCAAAUGGAGGACUUGACUUGUAUGUCCGUGUAGCCUACACAGAAAUUGGUAAACAUUUUAUGCUAGUUAUUAUGUGUACAACAAAUUGAAUACAUACACUUCUCUGAGUUUACCCUUUUCUCAGGGUUUUAGAUUGAAAAAUUUCAACUUUCAUUGGGUGCAGAUAAAGAGGGAAACAAGACAGUCAACAUUAUUAUAACAGUGAUAACAGGAACUGUCUUAGUUCUAGUUUGUGCAUAUAUCAUGUGGAGAAGAAUAUCUAACCACCACGGUAAUAUAUCAUAUACUCUGAAGAGUUUUCUACGUAUUAGUAUUGUCGAUACAAAUCAUACAAAUACAAGAUCAUAAUUUUCUAUAAAAUUAAAUUAUUUCUGCUAACUAGUUUCUGUUUUCUUUAACUGAACAAUUCAAAUCACUUUCAAUUUUAAUUGUAUUUGCCCAUCCACGGUAAUAUUAUCAUCUAUGAAAUAUUAAUAUUACCUUGUUAAUUCUUUACCACAUAGCAUUCCGUUUUGUUAUUUGUCCACCAUAUAACCACAUGCAUCUUAAGAGUAAGGGACAUUACAAUUAAACUAUACUGAAGCAUAAAUUAUGACCAUGACGCUAGAACUUCUCUCUAUUGAAGUCCUAAAUUGUGUUAUUGUUCUUUCCCUUCAAAAAUUUAUUAUUCUAUUUAGCAAAUUCGUACAGUAAUGAAUUUUGCACAUCAAAAUAAGUGGAUGUAUUUAAUGUGUACCAUAGAUAUUUUUGGAAAUUAAAAUAAUUUAAUGUUGAUUCAUUUUUAAAAAAAUUCUUUAAUUUUUAUAAUUUGGUCUUCUUUUUCUUGUUAAACUUUUUGGAAAUAUUAAAUUUGUCUUUAACAACAUUGUAUUUUGUCAAAUUUCAAUUUGAAUUUUAAAACAUAAAAUAUGAGAUAUAGAAACUAAAAACUAAAUAAGAUGAGGUUAUAUAUGCUACAUCUCUCUGUCAUUUUUAUUUCUUCCAGUUUUCCACGUGUUUCCUCAAGAGAUAAUUGUGUUUGAGCAUUGUCGAACUCUAAGGAUACGUCUAGAUGGAGGGUUUUGGAAAGAAAGGGGUGAGAGGAUUUCUUUUUUUUUUUUUUAAAUUAAGGAAGCUAUAUAAUAUGUCUAAAGAUAAAUUAAGUGUAAUUAAGAUGUUAUAUGACAAUAUAAGAGGACUUAUUUUCUUUUUUCAAAUUAAAGAAGCUAUAUAAUGUUCCUAAAGAUAAAUUAAGUGUAAUUAAGAUGCUAUAUGACCAUUUAUCAUGUAAUUCUUUUGAUUAUUAGUAAGAUUUCAAAUAUAUACCAAGGUAUGGACAUAACCCCAAAGGCCUACUCCCAAACAUAUCCUAAAUGUGGACACAUCUUCUAUCCAGGAUUUGAACUACAUAAACAAAACACAGCAAAUAGAGAUAAUAAUUUGUAUUAUGUCAAUUUCUUCAUUAGUUCACUAAUUGUCCUUCACAAAUUGAUUUUUCUAUAAACUAAUUGCAUAUAUACUCUAAUUAAUUUUGACUAAGAUGAAACUAAGAACUAAGAAUUAAUUCAAAGCUUCGAUUGCCAAUCACUUGUACUACUAUAAUGUGUAGGUCUCAAUCAGAAUACAUAUUUCUUAGGAAUAUCGUUGAAGAAGUAUCUAAUAAGAUUGAUCGCACUCCUUUACAUGUUGCUGAUAACCCAGUUGCACUAGAAUCCGCAGUGCUAGAAGUGGCAUCUCUGCUAGGAGGAUGUGACUGGUUUGGCUCUGGCAGCAAAGUUAUAAUCACUACAAGAGAUAAUCAUUUGUUAUCCACUCACAGGAUUAUGAAGUCAUUUGAGGUAAAACAGCUAAAACAUGAAAAGGAUCUCGAAUUGUUUAGUUGUCAUGCCUUCAAAAAUAAAAUAAAAAUGGAUCAAGAUUAUGUUAAUGUUGUCAACCGUGCAGUAUCUUAUUGUCAUGGUCUUCCAUUGGCUUUGGAGGUGAUAGGUUCUCACUUGUUUGGCAAAAGUUUGGAUGUAUGGAAAUCCGCAUUAGAUAAAUAUGAAAAAAUUAUUCAUAUAGAUAUACACGACAUUUAGCUAUGAUGAUUUGGAAGUAGACGAGAAGGGUAUUUUUUUUGACAUCACUUGUUUCUUCAAUUCUUACGAAAAGAGCUAUGUUAAAGAAAUAUAUACUUACAUGGUUUUCAUGCGAAAGAUGGCCUUCAAGUGCUGACUAACAAAUCUCUCAUAAAUCUCUCAUAAAAAUUGAUGGCAAUGGUUGUGUGAGAAUGCAUGACUUAAUUCAAGACAUGGAAGAGAAAUCUCGAGGCAAGAAUCACCAUUAGUUCCUGGUAGAAGCAGUAGAUUAUGGUUUGAUGAGGACAUUGUUAGUGUUUUGGAAGAAGAUAAGGUAUGUUAGAUAUAAUCUACUUUGUAACAUUUUUUACUAAUGUAUAAGUUUCAAAUAUUGUUUCUUCUCCAUUAUCAAUUAAAAAUGUUUGACAAACUUUAUUACCAUUCGCAGAAAAGGACGUUGAUUUAUAAUUUGUGAAUUUCUCCAUGUAUGUUGAUGACAAAGUCCUAACAUUUACUUUAUAAGAUUUUCAAGAGGCCCUCAAAUUCUACUAAAUAGCUUGAAAGUGCUUGACUGGAGUGGAUAUCCAUCAUCCUCUUUACCAUAUGAUUUCAAUCCCAAAAAUCUUGUGAUACUUAACCUUCCUGAAAGCUGCCUUAAAUCAUUCAAAUCACCUAAGGUGUGUAUUCUUUUCAAAUAUAUAAAUAUAAAUACUAUCUUUAACAUGUUUUUUGACAUUAAACUAACAUGUAUUUCUGGUCGAGAUUAACCUAAUAAUUUUAGGCAUCUAUUUUUGUUGUGUAGGCAUUUGAAACAUUGAGCUUUCUGAAUUUUGAAGACUGCAAGUUCUUAACAGAAUUACCUAGUUUAUCUAGAGUACCAAAUUUGGGGGCACUAUGUCUUGACAACUGUACUAAUUUAAUUAGAAUCCAUGACUCAGUUGGAUUUCUUGAUAAACUUGUUUUACUAAAUGCUCAAGGAUGCACUCAACUAGAAAUUUGGGUACACAACAUCAACUUGUCCUCUCUAGAGACUUUGGAUAUGAGGGGUUGCUUGCGUCUUGAGAGCUUACCUGAAGUAUUGAGAAGAAUGGAGAAGUUAAGAGAUGUUUAUUUAGAUCAGACUGCACUAGAUAAGUUACCUUUUUCAAUAGGUAAUCUUGUUGGGCUCCAACAACUAUUCAUGAGGGAAUGCCAAUGGAUGGUUCAGUUACCAAGUAGUAUCCAUGUAUUGCCCAAACUUGAGAUAAUAACUGCUUAUGGUUGUCGCGGGUUUCGAUUAUUUGACAAUAAUAAUCAUAAAGAAAAAGUUGGUUCACAAUCACUAGUGAUUCCAGCAGUCAUGCGUCUUUAUGAUGAAGGCAUGGAGGGCUUACUUGAUGUGUUUUUUCUUAACAUGUGUUUUUGGAAGGGACUAAACAAGGGGAUGUAAAUUGGUACCAGCUGGAAAGCAAGGAAUCAUCUAUGUAUUUUUGGUUCCGAAAGAAAUUCCCACGGAUAACUCUAUGUUGGGCAGGACAACCUCAAAUUAAUAAAGACAGUAUGAUGUUGUAUUUCAAGUUCAGCGUACCCAUCAAUGGUCCUAAGCAACUCACUUCUUCAUGUAAAUGACCAUAUUGUUUUAGAUUCACUUUAUUUAUUUUUAUUUGAUCUCAAUUUGUAUUAUUUUGGGAUAAUAAAAAUAUGUAAUUUGAUAGAGACCAGUCUCCAAGAUCAAUAGAAAUUGUAAUAUUGCGUGAUAAUAAGAAAUAUUAUAGAGAAUGAUCCUUAUAAUUCCAGAGCAAUGCUCCUCAGCGAAGAUAAUUUCUUUGUAUUCCCAAAUCUAGAAGGUUCUAACUAAAUAUGAUUCUGAAAAUGAUUUCCUCCUUGCUAACCGUCUCCUUAAUAUAACUACAUUCUCCCGCUAACAAAUUUGCUACAUAAGCAUAUCGUAAACAAUUCUCUAUUUGGCCCAUUUAUUGUUCUAGGCCCAAAUCUAGUACCUAACGAAAUUCAUCAAUAAUUUCCUUUAAUUAAUCUAAUAUAAAUCUUGAAGUACACGUGUGUAUUAGGAGCGCUAAGGAAUUAAAUUUCUGUCUUUUUUGACAAAUAAACAAAUAAUUCUUUACUAUAAAUUAUUUUCUCCAUCAUACAGCAAUUUUAAUGAUGACAGAACUAGGAUAUAAUAAAAGUCGUUUGUCUCUCAAAAGAAUAAAAACUUUUAUUAUUACUAUACAUUGAUCAACAUACUAAAAAAACUGUUCCUAUAUGCCACAUACCUUUAUGCAAAAUACUAAAAAAAUUAAACUACAGUGAAGCAUAAAUACUGAUUUAACUUACCUGCACCUCUUAUUGUAACUUGGUACAACAUCUUGGAGAAUCUUCAUCCUCUCACUGAUUUUCUCCUCCUGUACCCAUAUUAAGGCAAGUUUAUACAGUGUCAAGUACAUAUUUUUUUGCCAUUGUCAAUGUCAUUCAUAAAAAACAAAGGCAAUAAUCCUUGCACAUUUUGCAAGAAUUUGGCUAUUAGUAACAUGAUCUAUUCUCAUUCUUACAUGCAUGUAAUUUUGGAGGUUCUGAUUUCAGAGGAAGUAUCUUCCUCUUCCCCUGCAGUAGUAGCACUAGCACCUUCUUUGGGUUGGACUCGUCCUUAAUGGGCCAUUUUCAUUUCCAUCAUCCUCGUCUGGGCUGUUGUGCUUAGUUUUGAAUCUUUACAACCAACUUCAACAUCUUGAAAUGAUGAACAUUGUGUGAUUUGAAGUUUCUUUGCAGGACCAAAAUAAAAACGAUAAAUAAUUUUACUUAAAAAAUUAUUCGCCUUAGAUUCCUCUUGAGGAUUGGAUAUUUUUGCAUUCUGUCAAGGAAAAAAAAAAGGGAAUGAUAUUUCAUAAUAAUGCAGUCAAGAUGAAAUAAUUGCUCGUUACUCUUCAAAAUUCUAAGACUAUCUACUCAAAUUUUAAAUCUGAGACACCACCCUGUGUUAAUUCUAUCUUACAUCUUCUAGAAAAAGGAUUUUGUUUCAUUGAACGGGUAUGAGCAAAAAAAAAAAAUACUGUAGAAACAACUCUACUACCAAACCAAAGAAUCAUCAUAUCCAAAUUGAAACUACCAAAAGUGAAUUCAUAGUGCAAGAGAGAUCUAUGUUUAAAGCUUUCAUAACAAUAUCAAAGAGCCAAAAUGAACAAAUUUAUCUUAAUCAGGAAUCCGUCUAUAAGACAAUGAUUGUCUACGCGGCACCUAGCUAGAAUAAAGCAUUUGCAAGAAUAAAUUUAAUCAUAAUGCAAGCAAUGCUAUAAAUCUACCUUUCUUUCUCAUUUAACAAUAGGCACUUACUUAGAAUUGCAAUACUAUAUAAUCAAACUUAAAAUCUGAGACUUAAUGUAUUAAAAUUUGAAAGCAAAAUAAAGAAUGAAGACUAUAACAAUAAUUGAAUCAAGAUUAUUAAACGGAAUUCUGUUUCUUUGAACAGAUAUGAGCAUCACUAAAUUAGCGGAGAAACAAUUCUAUCACCAAAUCACGAAAUCAUCACAGAAUGAUGGUAAAAUACAAAUUACCGUGUUGUGAUCAAAGCCAAUUGGAACCAAAAUUGAAUUCGAAGGAACCAGAAAGAGAUUAGCGAGAAAUGGAUGAGGUCAAUGUAGGUGGUGUUUUGUGUAGGUUGGUGUGUUAUAGCAGAGAAUGAAUGAGGGUUUGAAAAGAAAGAAGAUGAAGGGAAAAACGGUGUCAUAGAAUGUGAGGGGUGAGUAGGUUGUAUAGAGGAGUGACUCUCACACUGUGGGGAGCUUUACAACGACGAUGGAGAUGACCAGAAAUAGGAGAUAUCAUUUAGUCACAAACUUAAACUUUUGGCCAAACACAAUUUUAUGCAACCCAUUUUAACAAUCACACAAUUCAUAUUUAUCUGUUACACAUUUUUAAGGAAUCUGCUACACAAUUCAAUAUGAUGGAAACACUCUUAUAUUUGAGAAAGCAAAAAAGAAUGAAAAUCCAAAUUGGUUCUCCAAUUCACAACAAUAUUGGAGUAAGGCAGCCUCUAACUCUGUUCAUAAUUAAUAUGAUUGAUUUUUCUUUAUAGAAAAAAAUCCAGAAGUGGUAUAUGUCUCAUUUAGUUACAUUAUUGUUUAAAUUCUAACCAUAUUAAGAACAACUCCCUGACCAGGUUCAAUAACCAAACCAUAAGCCGGUGAAUGGCACCACGACGCUGUAUUUGCAGUAGUUUCAUGUCCAACAAAGAAUAGAGUUCUGCAGUUAUCUACAAUGAACCUGUCUUGUAAGAUUGAAUUCUUUCCACUAUCAAGUAUCAUUUGCAAGAGCUCAUAACCUUCCUCUUGACGUUGGCAAGAAUCUAAAACAGUAUAAUACCAUUUUCCACAUUAGUAUCAUCCCUAACAAGACCAACAAAAUAAUAAGAUAUGAAUAUCGUAGAUUAGCGACACUGAUUCAAAAGAAAAAAUGGAAAAAGAGUACUCCAUAUCUCUAAAGAUUAAUUAAUGAGCACAAAAGUGUUUCAAUGAUCACACAUAGCUGAAUAGGCGAUAGCUGGAUAGGUGAAUAGGCGAUAGGCGAAUAGGGCGACAGGCGACAGGCGACAGGCGACAGGCGACAGGCGACAGGCGACAGGCGACAGGCGACAGGCGACAGGCGACAGGCGACAGGCGACAGGCGCGAUAGCCACUACCAACUAUCAGCUAUGAGGCAGCAAUAGCCGCUACCAACUAUCAGCUAUGAGGCAGCGAUAGCCGCUACCAACUAUCACCUAUGAGGCGGCGAUAGCCGCUACCAGCUAUCAGCUAUGAGGCGGCGAUAGCCGCUACCAGCUAUGAGCUAUGAGGCGAUAGCUGCUACCAGCUAUGAUAGCCAAUAGCUUAUGGCCGAUAUAGCUGAUAGACAAUAUCACCUAUCAGAUAUCAGAUUUUCAGUUAUAAGCUUAUAACUUAAUUUUACAAAAUAGAGCCAAAGUGUCCAUGUGAUUUCAAAAGAUUGGCUAAACUUUAAAAAUAUUAUUAUUUACAUUUUAUUUAAUUUCAAAUCUUAUAAUUUACAUUUUAUUUAAUUUCAAAUCUGUAUGCGGCGAGUAACGAGCCAGAGCAGGUAUGAUUUCCUUUAAUAGAGCGAGGUUACUCUGAAGGAGGUUCAGCCUUGACUCACCCGCGAUCUGUCGUGCGCCGGCGGUAACAAUACAAAGAUCGGACCCGGCGGUAACGGAGUAUUCAUCGGAUGAGUUGAUCUUAACGCGGGGGAGAAAGCAGCGGCGCGCUGAAGGUCGACCAUCUCGCCGCGGAGUUUGUCGGGUUUGUUGUCGACGAUGACGAGCUCGCCGGUGAGGUCCUGAGUGAGGAUGGUCUGAGCGAUGGCAAUUCCUACAUUUCCGGCGCCGAUGACGGAGAUCUUGGUUUGACGCUUGGAGAGAGAUGGAGGGGAUGAUUUGGAAAAGAAAAGGACCGAAUAACACUGUAACCGCCUGGUUGGUUUGUGUGCUUUCCGCCUUUAAAUCUACCAAUUUAGCAGUUGUGAAUUAGUUGUACCGUUCAAUUAAAAUGAUUCUUUAAAUAAUAACAUUUCAGUCUUCAAUUUUGAUGAAUGAUCAAUAUCACGUCACUGUUUUGUUUGAAAGCAUACAAUUUCAGAUCCUAGUUCGGAAUUUGGAUAGUUUCGUUUAUAUUUUAUUUUAUGCUAUUUUUCUUUUUUUAGACAUAACUUGCUUUUAUAUUAUUUGAUUUGAUUAACAACACAAAUAUCCUUUUAUUUUUGCUUUUUUUUCCUUCUAAUAUUCUGCAAAUUUUAAAUUAUAUAUUAAAUUAAAUAACAAUACAUCUAAUUGUUUUUUUAAUUAUUAUCUAUUUUUAACAUAGUAAAAAUAUAAAUAAAAUGAGUUUAUUUAAGUUAUAUGAGUUUACAUAAAUAUAUUUAAAUUAGACUUACAUGUAACAUAUAUCACUCAAUUUAUUAAAAAAUAAAACAUAUGUAAGUUCAGUUAUAUAUUGUUAAAUUGACAUAAAAUUAAUUAAUUAAUUUUUAACUCACUUAUUCAAUUUACUUCCAGUGAAAAAUUGUUUGAUAAAGUUAUAACAUGAACCACAUAUCUUUAAGAUUUAGAUGAGAGAAUGAAGAUGAGUAUGAAUUACCAUAAUUUUCCUAUAACAUUUUAGGAUUAUGAUUUCGUAGUUGAGGAACUCUCUGAUGAGAUAAUGAUUAAAUAGAUAAACCAUAUAAGAUUGAAAAGAGUUGUAGAGAUGAGAAGAAUUUAUAUAAUAAAUAAGAGGAAAUAUGAAAUUGAAUCAUUUAAUUUAAGUAUUAGAAAUUCCAAAGUUGAAACCAAUUCAUCAUUGAAAAAAAACGGAGUCCCAAGUUGUUGCCUUCAACCUCACGCACAUGGCUUUUUUCUAUGGAAAACGAACAUAAUAAAAAGGUGAAGAGGUGCAAAACAUGCUUUUUACAAUUGGGUCGAAACGACUUAAAUGGGUCAAAGCUUCGCGACAUGGCGCGCUGCUCCCAUGAUGUCACGCUUUUUCUCUACGAGCUCAAAGAUAUGGGUUCUCCAACAAUUUUGUCUUCGCUCUAACAAUGUUCUCACUCAAAAACAUGUAAGAUCUUACAAACUUACGCUUUAGAGCUCACUACUAACAACCUUGCACAUACCUAUAGUCCGAAUUCCUGACAUAUAUCUUGGAGAGGAGUUUUUUAAGAUCUGUAAGCUUUGUGAAUAUUUCUUUUCCUUCGACAUAAUUGCUCCCAAAACAAGCUCUAGAAAUUAUAUCAGCUGACAAGCUUCGCAAAUCUUCAUCAAUUUUAAUUUCUGAAACUGCUCCAUCUCUUUCUGUUUAGUCUCCCAUGUUCUUAACAUUUUAUUUGUGGAGUCAACUUUCCGAUCAACCAUUGCCUUCAACAUGACUCACAUAAAAUGAAAAGAUUAAAAUGUUAUUUUAAUCAAUAUAUAUGUCUUAUAACAAUUCUAGAUAUAAAUAUAAAUCGUAGAUGAGAUAAAAAUAAAAAUAAAAUUAUAUUGAAUAAUAACAAAAUUGUUGUUACAUAAAAUAAUACAAAAAAAUUUAUAUAGCAACCUAAUUAAUAUUAUAUCUAAUACGCUUAUAUUUGCUCCUUCUAAAUACUCAAACAUACUUUUAUUUCGAUAAAACACGUACACAGAACCUAAUCGUUAGAGUAUUGAAAUUUAUUUAAAGGAUUGAAUCUUCUAACAUAUAUUUUUAAAUAUACCUCUAUUAAGGACUGAACUCCUGACCAAAUAAUUAAAUAACCAAACUUUCUACAACUUGUACCACACACCAACAUACCAGUUUCGGCACAAUUAUUUUCCUUAUUUUUCUCUGAUGAGCCCAAAUCAACUCAUUUGUUGAGGGUCAAAAGCCCUCACGAAGGGGGGGAAACAGCCACAAAGUAGACAUUUGUGGCGGCCUUAGGCAGCCACAAAUAAGGUGGUCACAAACCUUUGUGGCGGCCUUAUAAGAGUAUCCUAUAUUCUUUGGAAAGGAAUGAAUGUUUUCUUUGAUUCAAAGAGGUGUUUAAGACGAUUUCCUACACCAUUUUCAUAUUUGUCACCAUUAACCAUUGUGUACUCCCAGAUGAAUACAAGUAUAUUGAACCUGCAAUAUUUAUAUCUUAACACACCAUUUCAUUGGAUAUACAUUUAUGAAAAAUAAUAAAAAUAGUUUUUAAAUAUUUUUAUUACUUUUAGAAAUUUAGGUCAAACAAUACCUUUAAAAACAUCUUAACCUAAUAUUUCACAUCUUAUCUUAUAUAUAUAAAAGAUAAUUUGAUAUGACAUCUUAACCUAAUAUUUCACAUCUUAUCUUAUAUAUAUCUCAUAUAUAAAAGAUAAUUUGAUAUGACAUCUUAACCUAAUAUUUCACAUCUUAUCUUAUAUAUAUCUCAUAUAUAAAAGAUAAUUUGAUAUGACAUCUUAACCUAAUAUUUCACAUCUUANNNNNNNNNNNNNNNNNNNNNNNNNNNNNNNNNNNNNNNNNNNNNNNNGUUUCAAAUCGGGUGCUGGAAAAUGUUUGAAUUUAGCUUCAAGCUCAACCAUAACUAACUAUAAAUAUUUAACACAAAUUAAAACUCAAUCAUGCAAAAAACAAACAAUUAUGUAUUGUAUUAACACCUACCAGAUGUGUGAAUCCGAUAGUGUUAUAUUUUUUUAAAACACUAUCGAAUGUGUGAAUCCAGUAGUGUUAAUUUUUUAAAAAACAACUACCAGAUCCUAGAAUCUGAAACAAUCCAGUACAUAACUUCAAAAAAUUUAACAACCAAAAUGACAAUGAGAAAGCUUUUAGAGCUACAUUACCUUUGCAAUGAACAAGAAUACAAUUGAUGAUGCCAAUGGAUAGAAGAAUGAGAAUUUUGAACUCUAAAAACGUGAAAAUGUGUGAAGAAUUUAAGGUUGAGUAUUGAAGAAGAAGUGUUUGGCGAAAAGGCUGACUUGCUUUUGUAUUUGUGGCUUGCUUUUGUAUUUGUGGCUUCCGAAUGCUGGAACCCGGUAACUUAAAUUACUGAAUUCAUGCACCCGAGAAUUUACCGAUUCGAAAGUUGAGAUUCAAUAAAAUAUAAAUACAAAAAUUUGAGGAGCCUCUAAGCAACGAUGGAAGAUAAGCAAAUAGGAUGUGGACCGAUGAGGCUCCCUUUUCUUAUUCCUUUUGUUGUAUAAGGAUUUGGGUCUGAUUGGUCUUUUGACUUGUUUCAAUAAAAAGAGGUAUAUCUAUUAUAAUAUAUUAAAAUAUACUCUUAUAUUCUAACAAGCACUCUUUCACCCUUCUUAUUAUUUUACACAUUACUUUAACACAUUUUUUUUUGUUUUAACACAUAUUUUACUAUUAUUAUUUUUGCAUAUAAUAUUUUGUGGAACUAUUCAUGUUUCAUGAGUUACAAAUUACAAUACAAUAAAUAUUAGUUAUUCGACACUCAUUGUUCCUCCAUCAUUAUUGGUAACGGUUCCUCCUAUAGUUUUAAAUCUCAAUUAAUAUAUUGUGUCCUUUUAAAGUUUUCUCAAACUACAAUUAAGGGAAGUUAUUUUAUAUCGCAUGUUAUUUUUAUCUGGAAAUAGGAAGACAACAACAUAUAUGAUUAGGUCCCUAUGCAACUCUUCGUAUGCUCAUUACAUACUUUCACACUUUUUUCCUUUUAGAUAAGCAAAAAGUGUGAUAACUCAUAUAUUUUUUUAGUUUACGUCUUUGAGUUUUAAUUUUAUUUUAUAUAUAUUUUGAUAUAUUUGUGAUCAAUUGUUGUUGUUGACAUUUGGUCUAAAUACAUCACUUUUUCUUUCAAAAUGUGCUUAUUUUUCAUUACAUAGUAUAUUAUGUGUUAUCCAGUGUAUUUUUCGGAUAUACAUUGAAAUUUGAAACAAGUUUCUAACACUAAUACACAUCUCUUAAAUUUCAAUGAUAAUAUGAAUAAGUUAUACUAUAUUAUAUGAUGACAACUACAAUAUCUUUUUCACCUCAUCUUUAGACAUAUCGAGUCAAAUAGUUUAACAAUUAACUCUCUAAGAUUUUUUUAGAUGAAAAAUAAGAAAUAAUUCAUGUCUAUGAGAACCUAUCUCACAUUUUUAGUUUCUACAAUCAUUUAAUUUCCUCAAAUUGAGUAUUACACAAUAUCAUCAGGAAAUAAAUAAAUAAAUAAAAUCUUUUAAUAAAAAAUAGCUAUUUUUAGUGAGAUCUAUAAAAUAAAUAAAUAUAUCUCAUGUCACUUAUUAGAUAACUAAAAUUAAUAUUCAAACCAGAUAGAGAGAGAUAUCAUUUAUAAUUAGACCAAUAAUUCGUUAUUGAAUUAUAAAGUUCUUUAAAUUCAAUUUAUAUUAUUUCAACACGUCUUUUCUUUUUUAUUCUCAUUAUACUCUUGUUGAUAUGGACUUAUAAGAAAAUUUGUAUGUUAUCUGAAAUAUUGAAUGUUUUUUGUAUGAUUAUAUAUUAAAAUAUAUUUUUAAUUUAUUUUAAAUAGUAAAUUAUUUUUAAUUUUGGUACAAUAUAGUAAAUUGGUUAUCUCAAGUAAUAUUUUUUAAUUAUUGUUUGCAUUAUAUAAAAUAUGUUUCGACACAUUAAAAUUGUAAAUAGACAACAUUGACGCAUCAACCUACCGAUAUAUUUUUUCUAAAGACAAAAUCGUGAAAUUUUAUUUAAGUUAUUAUCAAAUUAUAUGUAUAAUAUUGUAAAAUAUUUAAAAAAAAAAUUAUAUUUAUUCGUACAACGUGUGGAUUUUGAUCUAAUUUAAAUAAAUAAAAACAUGCAUGGAAUAAGUCACGAGAUUGUAAUAGGUGACAUGAGUCAAUUUAAUUUUUGUUUUUUGAGCAGGACUCAAAUGAAAUAUAUACUAGCGGUCUUAAAACAUAAUUCAUUGUUUUUCCACCACGUGACUAUACUUUUCUAAUGACUCUUGAUUUUUCAAUACAGUUCAUGCAUUUUUUCCAAGCAAAUAUUUGCUCAUUUUUACAAGAAAUAUCUGUUUAUUACAUGUUUCAUUUGUUUGAGAAAAACACCUUAUAACUCUGAAGUAGAAAUAUAUUAUUAUUAUUAUUAUUAUUAUUAUUAUUAUUCUUUUAUUAAGUAGAAAUAUAUAUUGCUUUAAUUCACAAAAAUUUCAAUUUAUUUUUAAGCAAGAUCUCUAUGGUAUUUUUCUUAAGGAAAAAAAGGUAGUGACAACUUAUUUUCCCUGAAGUUAUAGAAAUUAAUAACACUUUAACGGGGCAUUCAUCGUACAUGGAAAAGUAUUGCUUCAUUGUCGAUCUUAUCUCUAUGUUGUGUAAAUAUUACUAGACAGCAUCCAACAAUGUCGUGUACCCUUCGUCUAAAAUAUUGUUGGUUUACCCUUCCCUUCUUUAUUAUAAGAUUCAUUUUUUAGACUCUUUUUUAUCGCUUAAUAUACAAUUAUUUUCAAAAUUCAUAUACAUUAAUAAUUUCUUCAUAAAAAUAACCCUAUUUAAUUUACAAUUGAGAAACAAUUUUGUUUUUGUCUUGUAAUAUCAUAUGUAAGGGUAAUUAUAUUUUAUUAUAAAUUUAUUGCUACAACUAAACUACUUUUCUUAAUACUGUAGUUAAUGUGAGUCUUGUAAUAAAAGAGUAUAUUGUAAAUGUAACAUAAUACAAAUAAUAAAAGAAAGUAUGUUAAGAUAAUUUUCUGGCGGACGGAUGCUGUUGUGGUCUAACUUUAUAAAUGAUCCAUCAUAGGUCGAUGAUGAAUUAUUUAAAAAUCAGAUCACCAUUUUAAUUGUAAAAGUGCGGAAAAUGGUUAAAUUAUACUUUCAGUAAGACUAAUGUAUAAUUAAUCGUCGUUAAAGUUUCUGAGUUAUUUUUGAACAGAAGUCCACCAUGAAAUCUCCAUGAUAAUAAACUGUAGCAUGAAAGUUCCAAUACGCGCCUAUAAAGUCACGUCAAACGGUUUUGUCGACUAUUAACGGGCCAAGAAGUCCCAAUAAUCAACAAGUUAAAAGGAAGUUACUUAUGGAAACUAAAUGUCAUCAUUUAUCAUAACAAGAAGCAAUCAUCUAACUAAUAAGUUUUAGUUAUUACACAAAUAUGUUUCUGUUCUUCAUUUCCAUUAUGCUAUAUUUUAGUUUUUUAAAUGUAAGUGUUGCCAUAGACACCAUAACAUCAACUAAUUUUAUCAAGGACUCUGAAACUCUAAGAUCCAAGAAUGGUAACUUCACCUUAGGCUUCUUCAGCCCUGAAAAUUCUACAAAUCGCUAUGUCGGAAUUUGGUGGCAGCCACAAUUCACAGUCUUAUGGGUUCUCAACAGAGAAACACCACUGAUUGAUUCUUCUGGUGUUGUUACAAUAUCUGAUGAUGGCAAUGAUCUUGUGAUACUGAAUGCAAAGAAGGAAGUGAUUUGGUCAUCAUCCAAUGCGCCGAGCAUCGCAACCAAGUCAAGUUUCAAACUUUUAGAUUCAGGGAACCUUGUACUACUUGAAGACACGACAGGUAGAACUAUAUGGGAGAGUUUUCAGCAUCCUUCAAAUACACAGUUACCAGACAUGAAACUUACUACCAACAAAAGAACAGGUUGGUAGCUUAAGUAUUUAAUUAAAAAAUUAUGGCAUGCUAUAAUCAGUUAUUAGGAAUUAAUAAUAAAAUAGUCAAUUAUUAUUAUGCACUAAUAUUUAGUUAUGAAUGAACCAUGAUAGGUCUUGUCAUUCUAUUAUUUGUUUAAUCGUUACUACAUUAGACGGUAACACUGAAAAGAUGGCAAUGAGGGGGUUCAUUUCUCAACUGUCUGUUCUCAUUGAAAUGUACGAAGUUCUAAUACAUUCUUAACUUAAAUAUGUUAUGAUUUGUAUCUAAUUACAGGUGAGAAAGUAAAACUUACAUCAUGGAAAAGCUCUUCUAAUCCAUCCAUUGGAAACUUCUCUUUAAGUGUUGAACGACUUAGUAUAACUGAGGUGUUCAUUUGGAACAAAACUCGACCAUAUUAGCGCACCAGUCCAUGGGAUGGUAAGAUUUUUUCAGGGCUUCCAUAUACGAAAACUCACGACCUCAAUGAUAUACAUGUUGGAGAUGACAGUUCCUUCUUUGAAACAACAAAGGAUACAAUUAGUCUCAUAAUCUAUAAUCUGACUUCAGAAGGAAACUGUGAAGAGAAAUGGUGGGAUGAAAAGAAGAAAGAAUGGAAUGUAACAUGGAAUAGUCAUCAAAUGGAAUGUGACGUUUAUGGUGUAUGUGGAACUUUUGCUAGCUGUAAUUCACAAAGCUCACCAAUAUGUAGCUGUUUGCAAGGGUUUGAGCCAAGGAACAAAGAGGAAUGGAAUAGACAAAAUUGGAUUGGAGGGUGUGUUAGGAGGAAACCUUUGCAAAAGUGUAAAAAAGAGAGCAUUCAUAACAAAAGUACAGAGAGUAAAGCUGAUGAUUUUUUGAAACUACAGAUGGUCAAAGUUCCUGAUUUUGCAGAUGGGUCUUCUCUCCCACUUUCACCAGACACAUGCAGAAGCCAAUGUUUGGGGAAUUGCUCUUGUGUUGCAUAUUCAUAUGAUGCUGACAUUGGUUGUAUGUCUUGGACUGGGAAUCUAGUUGACAUACAACAAGUCUCAAAUGGAGGACUUGACUUGUAUGUCCGUGUAGCCUACACAGAAAUUGGUAAACAUUUUAUGCUGGUUACUAUUUGUGCAACAAAUUGAAUACAUACACUUCUGAGUUUACCCUUUUCUCGCGGUUCAUUGGGUGCAGAUAAAGAGGGAAACAAGCCGGUCAUCAUUAUUAUAAUAGUGAUAACAGGAACUGUCUUAGUUCUUGCUUGUGCAUAUAUCAUGUGGAGAAGAAUAUCUAACCACCACGGUAAUAUAUCAUAUACUCUGAAGAGUUUUCUACAUAUUAGUACUGUCGAUACAAAUCAUACAAAGACAUGUUCAGAAUUUUCUAUAAAAUUAAAUUAUUUCUGCUAACUAGUUUCUGUUUUCUUUAACUGAACAAUUUCAAAUCAGUCCAUUUUUUAUUGUUUGACGCUUCUUCCUCCUGCUAAUUUGUGGCUUUCAAAUAAUUCAGGAAGAAACCAAUUUGACAACACAAUUGGAGAACUGUCACAAGUUAAACUCCAAGAGCUAUUACUAUUUAAUUUUGGAAAGCUUGCAACUGCGACCAACAACUCCAAUUCAUCCAACAAACUUGGGCAGGGUGGUUUCGGACCAGUAUACAAGGUAUAUUAAUUAAAUGAAGUUGUAGAAAAUAAUACUGAUAUAUUUCAAAGUUGUAAAAAGAGUACAUGCACAAAUUUGUUUAAUUUCUCUUCUAGGGAGCACUGCCUAGUGGUCAGGAAAUUGCGGUUAAAAGACUCAUCUGGACAAAGUCUAAAAGAAUUCAUGAAUGAAGUAGUGGUGAUUUCUAAGCUUCAACACCGCAAUCUUGUAAGACUUCUCGGUUGUUGUGUUGAAGGAGAGGAAAAGAUGUUGAUAUAUGAGUACAUGCCAAAUAAAAGUUUGGAUGCAUUUCUCUUUGGUUAGUCUUUGACACUGUACCAUUUGUUUCAUACCCAAUUCAAACUUUGAGGUUAAACGCUAUUCAUCAUAUAUGGAAAUGUUUUGUAACGAUGAACAAUUGUUUCACAGCCAAUGACACAACUUAUCUUGUAUUAGUACUAGAUUCAAAAUAACAAAAGUUCAAUUUUUCAUUUAUUAGAUUCAUCGGAAAGUAAAAUCCUUGAUUGGAGUAAACGCUUUAGCAUAAUAGAAGGAAUAGCUCGGGGAUUGCUUUAUCUUCACAGAGAUUUCAGGCAAAAAAUUAUACAUAGAAAUUUGAAGCCAAGUAAUAUCUUGCUAGAUAAUGAGCUUAAUCCAAAAAUAUCAGACUUUGGUAUGGCCAGAAUCUUUGGAGGUAGUGAAGAUCAAGAAAAUACUAGAAGAGUCGUCGGAACUUAGUAAGUACACCACUAUACCUUCUUAGUUCAAGGUUAAAGUAGUGUACUUUGAUAUUAAAUUAAAUUGUCUUGCAUUUCAAUGUAGUGGCUAUAUGUCUACAGAAUACGCAAUGCAAGGACUGUUUUCUGACAAAUCUGAUGUUUUUAGCUUCAGAGUUUUGCUUCUUGAGAUUGUUAGUGGAAGACGAAAUUCAAGCUUCUAUGACUGCGAGGAUUCUUUGACCCUUUUAGGAUUUGUAAGUAUCUUAAAUUAUCUUAUCUAACUAACCCAAUCUUGGAUGUUCUUCAGCUUUCUCAAAUGUUUGAUAUUUGGCUUGUCAAUUUAGGCUUGGAUACAAUGGACAAAAGACAAUAUUUCAUCUCUUAUAGAUCCAAGAAUAUAUGAUCCUAUUCAUCAUGAAUGUAUCAUUAGGUCCAUACACAUAGGGCUUCUGUGUGUACAAGAAUUUUCCAUAGACAGACACACUAUGUCUGCUGUAAUUUCUAUGCUUAAUAGUGAGAUUGUAGACCUUCCUCCACCAAAGAAACCUGCAUUCAUCCUGAGGCAGAAUAUGAUGAGCACAGUGUCGUCUGAAGAAAGCAAUGAUGGCUUGUACUCUAUCAACUUAGCCAAUAUUUCAGAUAUCCAUGGCAGAUAGCUAACUAAGAACACUAUAUCGUCUCUUGGAGAGAAUAAGAAUUAUGUUAGUCUAGGAAAGGUUGCUGGAACUUGGAAAAUUAUAGGUAUACCCGUUUCUUUGUCAAAAAGUAUAUAAUAAGAUUUCAAGUAUUGAAAGUUUUGCUAUUGAGAUGAUUUAUGAGCUCAGAAAACUUUAAAGUUGUUUUAUAUCUUGUAUUUGCCUAUCAUCUAUGAAAUAUUAAAAUUACCUUGUUAAUUCUUUACCACAUAGCAUACCGUUUUGUAAUUGGUUUUAUAAAGAGUUGGUCGUUUAAAACUUUUCUAUAGCAGUUUACAACUAAAUCAUUAAUUCAUUGAAAGUCCACUAUAAAACCACAUGCAUCUUAAGAGUAAGGGACAUUACAAUUAAACUAUACUGAAGCAUAAAUUAUGACCAUGACGCCAGAACUUCUCUCUAUUGAAUUCCUAAAUUGUGUUAUUGUUCUUUCCCUUAAAAAAUUUAUUAUUCUAUUUAGCAAAUUUAUACAGUAAUGAAUUUUGCACAUCAAAAUAAGUGGAUGUAUUUAAUGUGUACCAUAGAUAUUUUUGGAAAUUAAAAUAUUUUAAUGUUGAUUCAUUUUUAAAAAAAUUCUUUAAUUUUUAUAAUUUGGUCUUCUUUUUCUUGUUAAACUUUUUGGAGAUAUUAAAUUUGUCUUUAACAACAUUGUAUUUUGUCAAUUUCAAUUUGAAUUUUAAAACAUAAAAUAUGGGAUAUAGAAACUAAAAACUAAAUAAGAUGAGGUUAUAUAUGCUACACCUCUUUGUCAUUUUUAUUUCUUCCGAUUUUCCACGUGUUUCCUCAAGAGAUAAUUUUGUUUGAGUAUUGUCGAACUCUAAGGAUACGUCUAGAUGGAGGGUUUUGGAAAGAAAGGGGUGAGAGGACUUCUUUUUUAAAAAAAAAAUUAAGGAAGCUAUAUAAUAUGUCUAAAGAUAAAUUAAGUGUAAUUAAGAUGUUAUAUGACAAUUUAAGAGGACUUAUUUUCUUUUUUCAAAUUAAAGAAGCUAUAUAAUGUUUCUAAAGAUAAAUUAAGUGUAAUUAAGAUGCUAUAUGACCAUUUAUCAUGUAAUUCUUUUGAUUAUUGUAAGAUUUCAAAUAUAUACCAAGGUAUGGACAUAACCCCAAAGGCCUACUCCCAAACAUAUCCUAAAUGUGGACACAUCUUCUAUCCAGGAUUUGAACUACAUGAACAAAACACAGCAAAUAGAGAUAAUAAUUUGUAUUAUGUCAAUUUCUUCAUUAGUUCACUAAUUGUCCUUAACAAAUUGAUUUUUCUAUAAACUAAUUGCAUAUAUACUCUAAUUAAUUUUGACUAAGAUGAAACUAAGAACUAAGAAUUAAUUCAAAGCUUCGAUUGCCAAUCACUUGUACUACUAUAAUGUGUAGGUCUCAAUCAGAAUACAUAUUUCUUAGGAAUAUCGUUGAAGAAGUCUCUAAUAAGAUUGAUCGCACUCCUUUACAUGUUGCUGAUAACCCAGUUGCACUAGAAUCCGCAGUGCUAGAAGUGGCAUCUCUACUAGGAGGAUGUGACUGGUUUGGCUCUGGCAGCAAAGUUAUAAUCACUACAAGAGAUAAUCAUUUGUUAUCCACUCACAGGAUUGUGAAGUCAUUUGAGGUAAAACAGCUAAAACAUGAAAAGGCUCUCGAAUUGUUUAGUUGCCAUGCCUUCAAAAACAAAAAAAUGGAUCAAGAUUAUGUUAAUGUUGUCAACCAUGCAGUAUUAUUGUCAUGGUCUUCCAUUGGCUUUGGAGGUGAUAGGUUCUCACUUGUUUGGCAAAAGUUUGGAUGUAUGGAAAUCAGCAUUAGAUAAAUAUGAAAAAAGUUAUACACAACAUACUUAAAGUUAACUAUGAUGAUUUGGAAGUAGAUGAGAAGGGCAUUUUUCUUGACAUCGCUUGUUUCUUCAAUUCUUACGAAAAGAGCUAUGUUAAAGAAAUACUAACAUGGUUUUCAUGCGGAAGAUGGCCUUCAAGUGCUGACUAACAAAUCUCUCAUAAAUCUCUCAUAAAAAUUGAUGGCAAUGGUUGUGUUAGAAUGCAUGACUUAAUUCAAGACAUGGAAGAGAAAUCNNNNNNNNNNNNNNNNNNNNNNNNNNNNNNNNNNNNNNNNNNNNNNNNNNNNNNNNNNNNNNNNNNNNNNNNNNNNNNNNNNNNNNNNNNNNNNNNNNNNNNNNNNNNNNNNNNNNNNNNNNNNNNNNNNNNNNNNNNNNNNNNNNNNNNNNNNNNNNNNNNNNNNNNNNNNNNNNNNNNNNNNNNNNNNNNNNNNNNNNNNNNNNNNNNNNNNNNNNNNNNNNNNNNNNNNNNNNNNNNNNNNNNNNNNNNNNNNNNNNNNNNNNNNNNNNNNNNNNNNNNNNNNNNNNNNNNNNNNNNNNNNNNNNNNNNNNNNNNNNNNNNNNNNNNNNNNNNNNNNNNNNNNNNNNNNNNNNNNNNNNNNNNNNNNNNNNNNNNNNNNNNNNNNNNNNNNNNNNNNNNNNNNNNNNNNNNNNNNNNNNNNNNNNNNNNNNNNNNNNNNNNNNNNNNNNNNNNNNNNNNNNNNNNNNNNNNNNNNNNNNNNNNNNNNNNNNNNNNNNNNNNNNNNNNNNNNNNNNNNNNNNNNNNNNNNNNNNNAGAAUUACCUAGUUUAUCUAGAGUACCAAAUUUGGGGGCACUAUGUCUUGACAACUGUACUAAUUUAAUUAGAAUCCAUGACUCAGUUGGAUUUCUUGAUAAACUUGUUUUAUUAAAUGCUCAAGGAUGCACUCAACUAGAAAUUUGGGUACACAACAUCAACUUGUCCUCUCUAGAGACUUUGGAUAUGAGGGGUUGCUUGCGUCUUGAGAGCUUACCUGAAGUAUUGGGAAGAAUGGAGAAGUUAAGAGAUGUUUAUUUAGAUCAGACUGCACUAGAUAAGUUACCUUUUUCAAUAGGUAAUCUUGUUGGGCUCCAACAACUAUUCAUGAGGGAAUGCCAAUGGAUGAUUCAGUUACCAAGUAGUAUCCAUUUAUUGCCCAAACUUGAGAUAAUAACUGCUUAAGGUUGUCGAGGUUUCGAUUAUUUGACAAUAAUAAUCAUAAAGAAAAAGUUGGUUCACAAUCACUAGUGAUUCCAGCAGUCAUGCGUAUUUAUGAUGAAGGCAUGGAGAGCUUACUUGAUGUGUGUUUUCUUAACAUGUGUCCUAAUAACGUCAUAGAAGUAUGCAGUCCUUCGUUUGCUAAUGGAAAUAUUAGAUUAGUGUUUUUGGAAGGGACUAAACAAGGGGAUGUAAAUUGGUACCAGCUGGAAAUCAAGGAAUCAUCUAUGUAUUUUUGGUUCGGAAAGAAAUUCCCACGGAUAUCUCUAUGUUGGGCAGGACAACCUCAAAUUAAUAAAGACAAUAUGAUGUUGGAUUUCAAGUUCAGCGUACUCAUCAAUGGCACUAAGCAACUCACUUCUUCAUGUAACUACAUAUUUUCUGCAAAAAAGAUGAUGCAGCAAGUACUUUUCUGUGAUUUAGAAUGCAAAGUGGGAAAGCCAUUUUCAGAGCAUGAAUGGUAUACGGCAGAGAUUUUAUGUGAGUUGAAAUACCACAUGCCAUGUGGCUUGGAAAGGGUACUGGAUAUCAACGACAGGAGGACCAUAAUACGAAGUUGGUCCUUCAUUCGUUUCGGUGUAGAAAACAAGGAGGAUGUCAUAUUUCCGCCUAGGUUUCAGAGUUGAUGAGUUACAGAGAAGAAAAGAAACAUUGAACGUAGUCAAUGGUUCCAACAAACACUGAUGUGUUGGGAGUCUCAAUCACAAUGUUAGAUAAAAUUGAAGUUAGUUGUAGGUAGUUAUAAGUCGAUUACUAUUGACUACUAGUUAAGAUUUAUUAGUUUGGUUAUAUAUAAAGUGUAUCACAUAUUCAUUGUAGUCAACUUUUCUCAUUGAAUCAAUUCCAAAUAGAACGCUCAUGACUUAGCUGUUUUUGUGUUUUCAAAUACAACAUUCUCUCAAAAAACCCUGUAAUAAAUAGUUGAUCUUGAAAAAUCUGACCUACCCAAAUGAUUUUCUGUUUUUGUGUUUUCAAAUUUAAUCAACUGGUUUUUUGUCUCUUUCUUAUGCGUCUUUUCAACUUUGUCUUAAUUAAUCAACAAAGCCGCACAAGUCAUUCUAAAAAAUGACUUGUGAUUUUAAGUUGUUCAUUGUACCAAAGGAUAUCUUGUAGCUAGCAAUAUUGUGAAGACAACUUUUUUUGUUAUGUUCUUCGUAAAUGACCAUAUUCUUUUAGAUUCACUUUAUUUAUUUUAAUUUGAUCUCAAUUUGUAUUACUUUGAGAUAAUAAAAAUAUGUAAUUUGAUAGAGACCAGUCUCCAAAAUCAAUAGAAAUUGUAAUAUUGCAUGAUAAUAAGAAAUAUUAUAGAGAAUGAUCCUUAUAAUCCCAGAGCAAUGCUCCUCAGCGAAGAUAAUUUCUUUGUAUUCCCAAAUCUAGAAGGUCCUAACUAAAUAUGAUUCUGAAAAUGAUUUCCUCCUUGCUAACCGUCUCCUUAAUAUAACUACAUUCUCCUGCUAACAAAUUUGCUACAUAAGCAUAUCGUAAACAAUUCUCUAUUUGGCCCAUUUAUUGUUCUAGGCCCAAAUCAAGUACCUAAUAUAAUUCAUCAAUAAUUUCCUUUAAUUAAUCUAAUAUAAUCAUCUUGAAGUACACAUGUGUGUAUUAGGGGCGCUAAGGAAUUAAAUUUCUGUCUUUUUUGACAAAUAAACAAAUAAUUCUUUACUAUAAAUUAUUUUCUCCAUCAUACAGCAAUUUUAAUGGUAACAGAACUAGGAUAUAAUAAAAGUCGUUUGUCUCUCAAAAGAAUAAAAACCUUUAUUAUUACUAUAUAUUGAUCAACAUACUAAAAAAACUGUUCCUAUAUGCCACAUACCUUUAUGCAAAAUACUAAAAAAAUUAAACUACAGUGAAGCAUAAAUGCUGAUUUAACUUACCUGCACCUCUUAUUGUAACUUGGUACAAGAUCUUGGAGAAUCUUCAUCCUCUCACUGAUUUUCUCCUCCUGUACCCAUAUUAAGGCAAGUUUAUACAAUGUCAAUUACAUAUUUAUUUGCCAUUGUCAAUGUCAUUCAUAAAAAACAAAGGCAAUAAUCCUUGCACAUUUUGCAAGAAUUUGGCUAUUAGUAACAUGAUCUAUUCUCAUUCUUACAUGCAUGUAAUUUUGGAGGUUCUGAUUUCAGAGGAAGUAUCUUUCUCUUCCCCUGCAGUAGUAGCACUAGCACCUUCUUUGGGUUGGACUCGUCCUUAUUGGGCCAUUUUCAUUUCCAUCAUCCUCGUCUGGGCUGUUGUGCUUAGAUUUGAAUCUUUACAACCAACUUCAACAUCUUGAAAUGAUGAACAUUGUGUGAUUUGAAGUUUCUUUGCAGGACCAAAAUGAAAACGAUAAAUAAUUUUACUUAAAAAAUUAUUCGCCUUAGAUACUGCAGAUUCCUCUUGAGGAUUGGAUAUUUUUGCAUUCUGUCAAGGAAAAAAAAAAGGUAAUGAUAUUUCAUAAUAAUGCAGUCAAGAUGAAAUAAUUGCUCUUUACUCUUCAAAUUUCUAAUACUAUCUACUCAAAUUUUAAAUCUGAGACACCACCCUGUGUUAAUUCUAUCUUACAUCUUCUAGAAAAAAGAUUUUGUUUCAUUAGACAGGUAUGAGCAUAAAAAGAAUACUGUAGAAACAACUCUACUACCAAACCAAAGAAAUCAUCAUAUCCAAAUUGAAACUACCAAAAGUGAAUUCAUAGUGCAAGGAGAUAUCUAUGUUUAAAGCUUUCAUAAGAAUAUCAAAGAGCAAAAAUGAACAAAUUUAUCUUAAACAGGAAUCCGUCUAUAAGACAAUGAUUGUCUACGUGGCACCUAGCUAGAAUAAAAUAAUCAUAAUGCAAGCAAUGCUACAAAUCUACCUUUCUUUCUCAUUUAACAAUAGGCACUUAGAAUUGCAAUACUAUAUAAUCAAACUUAAAAUCUGAGACUAAAUGUAUUAAAAUUUGAAAGCAAAAUAAAGAAUGAUGAUAAUUGAUUACUAUAACAAUAAUUGAAUCAAGAUUAUUAAACGGAAUUCUGUUUCUUUGAACAGAUAUGAGCAUCGCUAAAUUAGCGGAGAAACAAUUCUAUCGUCAAAUCACGAAAUCAUCACAGAAUGAUGGUAAAAUACAAAAUAUCGUGUCGUGAUCAAAGCCAAUUGGAACCAAAAUUAAAUUCAAAGAAACCAUUGGAAGGAACCAGAAAGAGAUUAGCGAGAAAUGGAUGAGGUCAAUGUAGGUGGUGUUUUGUGUAGGUUAGUGUGUUAUAGCGGAGAAUGAAUGAGGGUUUGAAAAGAAAGAAGAUGAAGGGAAAAACGGUGUCAUAGAAUGCGAGGGGUGAGUAGGCUGUUUUCAUAGAGGAGUGACUCUCACACUGUGGGGAGCUUUACAACAACAAUGGAGAUGACCAGAAAUAGGAGAUAUCAUUUAGUCACAAACUUAAACUUUUGUCCAAACACAAUUUUAGAUUUAAAGAAGAUGCAUUUACACAUGUAACUAAUAAUAACGAAAAAGGUGUUUUGCUAACAAUAUGUUUUUUCAUAAAUGAAUUAGAGAACUAUAUGGAGACCUAUUAGAUUUAAUUAUGAGAAUGACGCCACUUGGCACUUGCAACCCAUUUCAAAAAUCACACAAUUCAUAUUUAUCUGUUACACAUUUUUUUUAAGGAAUCUGCUACACAAUUCAAUAUGGUGGAAACAUCGUAAAUUUGAGAAAGCAAAAAAGAAUGAAAAUCCAAAUUGGUUCUCCAACUCACAACAAUAUUGGAAUAAGGCAGCCUCUAACUCUGUUCAUAAUUAACAUGGUUGAUUUUUUUAAUAGAAAAAAAAACCAGAAGUAGUAUAUGUCUGAUUUAGUUACAUUAUUGUUUAAAUUCUAGCCAUAUUAAGAACAACUCCCUGAUCAGGUUCAAUAACCAAACCAUAAGCCGGUGAAUGGCACCACGACGCUGUAUUUGCAGUAGUUUCAUGUCCAGCAAAGAAUAGAGUUCUGCAGUUAUCUACAAUGAACCUGUCUUGUAAGAUUGAAUUCUUUCCACUAUCAAGUAUCAUUUGCAAGAAUCUAAAACAAAGUAUAAUACCAUUUUCCACGUUAGUAUCAUCUCUAACAAGACCAACAAAAUAAUAAGAUAUGAAUAUCGUAGAUUAGUAACACUACUUCAAAAGAGUAAAGAAAAAAAAAAACACAACUAGAAAAUAUAUGACGAAGUUCGGUUAUUUGUGUUUACAUCUCCUACUACACGUUAUUUGUAUUAAUAUUUCAAGUUUAGGAUUUAGAACUUGUAUUUAUAUACUACUGUUCUAGAUUCCAACAAUAACAUGAAUCUUACUCGAUAGAAAAAAUGAUAAUUGGAAAACAUGAAAAUGGAAAAAGAGUAUUUUAUAUAGCUGAUAGCUGAUAGCUGAUAGCUGAUAGCUGAUAGCUGAUAGCUGAUAGCUGAUAGCUGAUAGCUGAUAGCUGAUAGCUGAUAGCUGAUAGCUGAUAGCUGAUAGCUGAUAGGCUAUAGCUGAUAGCUGAUAGCUGAUAGCUGAUAGCUGAUAGCUGAUAGCUGAUAGCUGAUAGCUGAUAGCUGAUAGCUGAUAGCUGAUAGCUGAUAGCUGAUAGCUGAUAGCUGAUAGCUGAUAGCUGAUAGCUGAUAGCUGAUAGCUGAUAGCUGAUAGCUGAUAGCUGAUAGCUGAUAGCUGAUAGCUGAUAGCUGAUAGCUGAUAGCUGAUAGCUGAUAGCUGAUAGCUGAUAGCUGAUAGCUGAUAGCUGAUAGCUGAUAGCUGAUAGCUGAUAGCUGAUAGCUGAUAGCUGAUAAGCUAUCAGGCUGAUAAGCUAUCAGGCUGAUAAGCUUAUCAAGGCUGAUAAGCUAUCAGGCUGAUAAGCUAUCAGGCUGAUAAGCUAUCAGGCUGAUAAGCUAUCAGGCUGAUAAGCUAUCAGGCUGAUAAGCUUAUCAAGGCUGAUAAGCUUAUCAAGGCUGAUAAGCUUAUCAAGGCUGAUAAGCUUAUCAAGGCUGAUAGCUUAUCAAGGCUGAUAGCUGUUAUCGCCCGAUAGCUGAUAGGCGAUAUCACCUAUCAGAUAUUAAGAUAUCAAGAUAUCAGAUUUUCAAUUAUACGUCACCUUAUAUUUUCAUUUCAAAAAAAUAAAUAAAUAAAUAAAUAAAUAAAUAAAAAUAAAAAUAAAAAUAAAAUGAGAAUGACCUGAAGAGCUUCCAUGCGAUGUAGGUGAUAACACCGACAGGGUUAGACACGAUGAGUAUGCGGCGAGUAACGAGCCAGAGCAGGUAUGAUUUCCUUUAAUAGAGCGAGGUUCCUCUGAGGGAGGUUCAGCCUUGACUCACCGGCAAUCUGUCGUGCGCCGGCGGUAACAAUACAAAGAUCGGACCCGGAACGGAGUAUUCA
rnacentral:lncRNA from 1 species